UGAACCCGCCGCCGCCGCCGCCGCAGGAGGAGGAGACGCGCCAAGGAGAGCACGCGAGGAGGCGACCAUGAGGGCCAAGGUAUCCUCCAUCCAUCUCCGCGCCUACUCCUCGCGCCUACCAUCUCGUCGAUUAGAUCCGUGUGUGGCGUAGCAACUCGUUGCCACGAGUAGUUCUCAACUCGGUUCGUCCAUGUCCCGGGGCUGUGAUUACAAAGAGAGAGGCUCGAGUGGCGCAAUUCUGGGGUGGAAUCUCUUAUGGGACGGCGGAUCUCGCCGUGCGCUCGUGGACGCCCCCCUCGUCGCGGCGGCCGGGUCUGGAUCGGUAGCUUGGGACGCGAGGUGCCGCUCUGCGCGAGGCUGAUCCUUAGACCAGUCUCAAUGCAUAGGGCCUUGUUUAGAUGCACAUGUUUCGAGCCGAGCUGUGACAAAUCGUGUCGCGCAGAGCUUGGUAUCUCUGUGUCCCGUGCAUCGUUUCCGCAUGGUCCAGCCGCUGCGGUCUCGGAGGCGUCGCGUGCUUGUGGCGCCGCCGUCUUCUAGGGUUCUUCCCUGGCCACGGUGAAGGUUUCUUAAUCGCAUACACUUGAUAUGAGCCCCGUGGAUGAUGGCCUUAAGCCUCUGCUUGUGAAAUGUUGUUAGGAGAUUGAAUUGCAUUUCUAGCAGCAUCUGAUGGUGACUGUAGUCCUUGCUCUAAAUUUUUAAAGAUUUAGAUGCUUUGUUACUUAUGAUUUGUUUGCACUGGAAUCUGCCUGGCACCGUAAAUAAGCAAUUGCACGUUGAUGCUUAUCAGUGUUUGUCAUUACUAAUGCUUAUCAGUGCAAUUGUACUGGAAUCUGCCUGGAGAGAUUUUUGUUCCGUGUUUACCUUUAAUCUGUGGAAUUGUCUACUUCCUCCACUUAACCUGCAGCACAAAAAGGUAGUAUGUUGCCAGGCACUUAAGAUAAGAAUUCUGUUUUGUAGUUAAUUGAAAAUUGUGUGAUGGACAGGAUAAGGAUAGCCCCGUUCUUUUGCAUAGUUGUUAGAUGUAUUCCUUACAGUAUGUCUUUAAUUGUCUUGUACUCCCUCAUUUCAAAACAUAAGCUGUUUUGGCUUCUCUAGGUACAUUGCUUUUGCUAUGUAUUUAGAUAUACACUAUAUCCAAGGGUAUAGUAAAAGCCAUGAAUCUAGAAAGCCAUAAAGUCUUAUAAGUUGGAAUGGAUGGAGUAUACAAGAAUGGUCCUGUUCUUCUUCAUUUUAGUUAGUUGCAUUCUUGUCUAUGCUGUGCUAUUAUUUUUCCUCUUAUCUAAUGCUCACUCAACUAAUGCAUUCUUAUCUGUCAAUCUUCAGUGGAAGAAGAAGCGCAUGAGGAGGCUGAAGAGGAAGCGCCGAAAGAUGAGGCAGAGAUCUAAGUAAGCUGGUGGAGAUGGAUGGUGGACGUGAUGGCAUGCUUGAGUACAUACAUUUCUUCGGAUGCGUUUGCUCAUGGAGAGGCGUGAACCUGGUGUGCAGUCACAGUUUGCCAUCUGUCAAUUGGCUUGUCUCGGAAACCUGCACUUCAGUAGGCUAUCGUGGUUCUAGUUAUAUCCAGAGUUUUGCACUAAGACAACUCGGUCUGUUUUGUGAACCUAUUAUGAUGGAGCUUUAUUUGCUGCUAAUAUCGACCUACCUAUCUACCUACCUGUUAAGUAAUUCCUGUGUUUGUUUAUGCUGUGCUUGCCUGAUCUUUCAUUGUGUUAUUGUGGUAUCUGCUCGUUGGUGCUGGUUUAUCUGGCCUGUUUCUGUAAAUCAUCAGAGAAACAGCGUCCUGCUGUGUUGAAGAGCACACCGAUCGCUAUGCUUCACAUUGAAGCUGAUGCUCAACAUUGACUCAUAGUCUCAUACAAGCAUUGAAGCUAUUGUUCAUUCUAUGACCGACAGUUUCUCUAUAAUGGUGCAUAUGAACAUUGAAGCAGACAACAUAUUUUGCAGCUCGAACCUCUGUUGCCAAGCUGAUGCUCUACAUCGAUUUUAAUUGCAGUAACGGUUUGCUGCUGUGGCACGUCUGCGUAUCUCUGACGUUAAACGUACCGCGAGGUUGUUUUGGUCUGCGAUCCAGUGUUACCGCGAGAUGGUUUUGUUUUAUCAUCAAUUUUUUUUCUUUGUGUGUGCAAUGCCUCGGUUCGCUGUAGGCCUGAAGCUAAAAACCAAAGUCCCAUUCUGACUCUGAUACUCGUUCUGAAUUUUUUAUUUUUUAUUUUUUAAAAAUAUUUUAAAAAUCACUUAUAAAAGGAAAUGGUUUUCGUUUUUAUUUUUUAAAAGUCCCAUUGUGUUGUUUAAACAUUUGCUAGUUUUUUUUUGAGGGGAUUAAACAUCGUCUUAUCAUCUAGUUGGACUGGCCAACCAAAGGAAAUGCACAAUCUACGGUCCAUUUCAAAACCGCGAGCGUGGACUAAUCAAGCCCACGAUAGGACCUUUCGUUUAGGCCCAAGUCCAACCGAAGGCUCACUAACCAAAUGCAAUGCCCUAUUCGGCCCAAUUAAGGCCCAACGCCGUCUCGCUCAUGUCUCUCUCCACCACUACGCUCGUGGUCUCUCGAUGGGACCACCACUCCAAUGGACGGCGCGGAUCUCCCCUCCUACUCCGCCGCCACGGCCGCCGACGGCGACCGGCCUCCGGAGAGCGCGGUCGACGGAGGCGUGGAGAACGAGCGUGCCGCCGCGCCCACUCCAGAGCGGUGCGAGGCGCCGCCUCCGGAGAGCGCGGUCGACGGCGGCGUGGAGGACGAGCGUGCCGCGGCGCCCACUCCGGAGCGGUGCGAGGCGCUGGCCUCCGCGAUCGCGGGGGUGCUGGCCGGCGCGCUGCGGGAGCACGAGGAGCGGGCGGCCGCUACUGCCCGGAGCCAGGACGAGGUCGCCGCUGCCGUCGACCGCCUCAACGGAGGUAGGUGCCUCUCCCCGCUCCCGCCUUCGACUUUGUCUGCUGCUGAUGCUGUCGUGUGGUGCGCGCGUUGUGGCUUAGGGUUCUCCAGCUUCGGAUGCGGUGUAUUGUGGCGUUAAUUCAAACCGAAGAGUAGUGGGAUUUAAAUGACAUACUAGCAAUUGAGUUGUGAGCUCUGUGUUUUAUCUAUCUACUUUGCCUCUUUUCUUGAACUAUUCAGUACUCUUCCGUAAUUUCGUCAUCACGAUGGCAAUGAAAUUCAGGGACAUCCCAAAAAAUGUACUUUGCCUCUUUGAGAUUCUAACAGAAGACUAGUGGGAUUUAGAUGACAUACGAACAAAUGAGUUGUGAGCUCUGUAUUUAUUUAUCUACUUUGCCUUAAACUACUCCAGCACUCUUUCGUAAUUUCCUCACCAUGGUAAUGAAAUUCAGGGACCAAAAAUGUACUUUGCCUCUUUGGGAUUGCAACCGUGACAGGGCGAAGUUGAAAUUAUAGCUCGUUGUAACUUGCUUCUGUAGUUUAAUUUAAUUUAACUAAUGCACCAUCGUAUUUCUUGUGCGAGAUUGCAUGUUAUGUUUCUUGCUAUGUUUUCAAUAUCCUUACCCAGGGACUUGAUUGAAUCUACUUCUGCUGUUCUAAGUUGCACUUGACAUUGUUAGAGUAUAACACGACUAGGAUAGAGUUACUUGGGAUUAGGAUCCUUGUGUGCUGGCUUGCCCCAAGUCAUGUAAACUCUCUAUAUACUGUCUGAGAGGCUCAAUUUAAAUAAUCCAAAUCCACCCAUAAACAUAGUUCUUAGUUGCACCUGAAUCUACUUUUUAUUUAGUCCAAUUUCAGUCUCUUCAUUGUCUCAAGCGAGUUAACAAAUAAAUGGAUGAACUAGAAAAUUCUAGCAGUUAAACAGUAUACAAUGAUUAAAAAUAUUAAACUGAGAUUCAUGAUUCUGUCAUGGGCACAUGUGUGAGUGUCCAACUUGCCUGCAGGUGACCAGGUUUCCAAUCCGGUAAAAAAAAUUGGGCACACCAAAUAACACUUGGAGAACCCUAAGCCACUUGGAGAAGUCUCUUACAUUUUCCUUUGCUCCAAGGCUCCAUGCUUUUAUUCAAUUUUUUUUCUCACCUAAUGUGCUAUUGUCUGCGUACACAUAAUUUUGAUGGAAAGUAUGUAUGUAUGUGUAUCCAAUAACUGUAUGAAACUAAGACUGAGUUUUUGCAGAGCUAGACAGGCUAUUAGAGAAUGCACCCUCAAUGAUAAUAAUGCAACAUUCAGCAAGGAUUUCCAGUAUCCGCAAGAGGAUUUCAGCAAUGAACAUGCUACUCAAGUCCAUACAGCGACGCAUAGAUAACAUUGAUAGAAUUAUUUCUACUGGUAUGUCAAGUGGUUCUGUCUAUCAUUACUCUCUGUCUGUGGGUCAGCAGAGUGAAUCAUUAUGGACACAUUGCUUUGUGUUUGCAGAUCAUUCAUCUCCUGUACAGAAAGCCGGUAAUGAACUUGGAUCAAGGUGCCCUCCUUUUUUUUCCUACCACUUUUCAUCGUUUAUCUUUGGGUGGUCAUGAUAAAUGUGAACAAGCAACGUUAAGAGUUAUGGCUUUCAAUAUCUCGAAGCUAGUGCUGAAGAUGAAGUCUUAGUAAAUUUCUGAACAAUAGAUGCAAUUCUGUAUAACUGGAGAGGUGGGCUUUUCUUGCUUUUCAGUGUCGUGGUAUGAAAUAUUUAUACAAUAAACAACACAAUAAGUAAAUCUCUGGUUCCCCCAGCCCAAUUUGCUACUUUAUUUAUCUAGUCCUUAUUAGUUGCAUCCUUACACAGUUCCUCUUAAUUACAGGUUUUAGAAUAAUUCUGGUGGUGUCCCAUCAAUUGCAACCAUUUCUGUUUUGGUAGAGUUACCAUCAAGCAAUCACACGGGGCUGUCCAUAGAAGUGAGACGUCAUAAUUUCAAUUUUUCCCAGAGAUGUAUGAUCAAAAUAUUCCAAUCCUUUUUGUCACAUUUUGGAGUGGGAAAAGCCUUUUGUACUGGAUGGUCAAUUUCUUUUCCUGCGUUCUUUUUGUUGCAGACAAUGAAGCGUGUUUUCAGCUUCGGCGUUCACCCUUGUAUUCAAAUAUGAAAUUAUAUUCAGAAAUCAUAUUAUCAUAUUGACACUGUUGAGUGGUUUUGAUAUAUAGUACUUGUUUAAGAUGGCAACAUCUGGAAUUCACAUUGUUAUACUUUAUCAGAAAUGUUGGUAGAUGCUAGUGUGCCAUGGAUAUAAUUCGUUUGAAGGCCUUCUGGCCAGGUUUGUCACCAAAUUCCAAACCAAAUGUCAACGUUCAUAUGCAGGUAUCGGUCUACUCGAUGGAUUCGAUCAACACACUUGCAUAAACAACUUGGCAACUUUCAUUGCUCGUGCAGGAGACUCAGUCAUGUUCUGCCGACCGCUGGCAAUGCAAAUUGCCAGGUAUGUGCAGUAAGGCUGGCGUGCAGCAAAGCAAUAGAAACAAACAUAUUUCAGAAGAAAAAGCUGGCAUGCAGCAAAGCAAUAGAAACAACAACAUAUUUCAGAAGAAAAAACAUAGGUGUUAUUCCGACUGUUUCAAUGUGCCGAAAACAGGCAGGAAUUUGCUGCGUACAACUAUGACCUUUUUUUUUCGAGAACAUGCGUACAACUAUGACCUGGAACAACAAUGACCAAUUGUCGUGGGUGGUCUUCAUUGAAGAAAUGUUUCAUUUUCAGAAUCAGAAUAAAUAAAGGUACAGUGACAGCCAUGAAUCUACAAGUUACCCCAGGACACCAAGACUACAACAAAAUAAACUAAGCAAUGAACAUGGUAUGAACCUCAAAUGGAGGUUCUCCUUCAAACCUGUACAUGUGUUGACUAUCUAGGAUCUUUUCUCCGCUAAUCUUACAACAUCACUGACAAUAACCUUACUGCUGAAAUGAACACCACAGUUUGCAAUAGUAUUGUCAUAGGCGCAUGUAACCUUCUUUGUGACCUUUGAAGAGUUUCAGAUGCCUCUUGUUCUGAGAAUUGCUCCGGGUCAGUUCACGGCGUGUUCUCCAUGACGUCACAUGAGAAUAUAAUGAAGGAAAUAAGAAACAUAGCAACAGAAGUAAUAAGAUCACAACACAUAUUAGCAUGACAUUCAUGAAGCCAUCCCGGUUUUUAGGGUUCUUGUUCUGCUCGGUCCAUGGCACGCCACCAACAUUCAUCCCGAAAACUGACAAAUUUUGCAACAUAAAUCAGGUAAAUAAGAACCCUGAAAAAGAACAGAAAUUAAUUCAGGAAAGUACACGAGUGAGCACCAGGACAAUGAACUUACCUCCAGUGACAAUGGAAAGAGGAAGGAAUAUUAUGGAGAGAAAUGAAAGGUAGUACAAGCUUUUGUUUAUCUGCUCUGAUUGCCAACUAUCGAGACUAGCCUGAAGUGUGGUAACUCUAUUUGUAAUGAAUCCUAGGUUUUCUUUGAGCCUUCUGAGGCGACCUAUCAGAUCUUCAAGGGCUGCUAUAUCUCCAGUUGCGAACCAACUCUUGCUCGCACAUUUUUCUUUCACGCGGGGGAAUACUUGUUCACCGUGAGAAACAACCUACACAAACAAAAAUAGUAGCAUUGAGUCUGUGACUUCUGUUCUAUAGAUUAGGCCUUGUUUAGUUUCCUAAAAAUUUUGCAAAAUUUUUCAGAUUUCCCGUCACAUCGAAUAUUUAGACGUAUGCAUGAAGUAUUAAAUAAAAAUAAAAAUAAAAAGUAAUUACACAGUUUGGUCGGAAUUGACGAGACGAAUCUUUUGAGCCUAGUUAGUCUAUAAUUGGACAAUAUUUGUCAAAUAUAAACGAAAAUGCUACUAUUCAUAUUUUGCAAAAAUUUUUGGAAGUAAACAAGGCCUUAACUGAAUUCAUGUAACUGCACUUUUAGAACCUGAAAGCCAAAUUAUAAGCAACACAGCAUGACAACCUCAAUGUCAUAUCAGCACUCACUUCAUGCAUGUUUGCGAUUUUGACUAAAGCAGUGCAAAUUAUAAAACAUUCCAGGUUCCCAAUAUAUUUCCCAGAAACUCGAGAGAAAACUCAUACCUGAAGCAACCGCUGUAGAUCGAGAUGCAUUUUUGGGAAUCUCCUGCCAUCCAGCAAAAGUUUCCUCAGAAAGUGACCACCUGCAACAAGCACAAUCCACACAGUUCAUAAAAUAAAAAGGCUAGUCAUUGGAGAGAAAAAGGUGAAAGUUCGAAACCUUGUUUGUUGAAUCCUGGAAUGCAAUAAGCAUGGAGAGUACAUUUGCCAUAUGGUACCCCUCUAUAUUUGCACAAUGCUAAUAAACCUUUGCUGAAGCAUACAUCAUUUAACUUGGCAUAGGUCGCAUAGCAUUGUUGCAAAAUUUAUAUGGUUUGGAAGAAUGAUCAGGGUCUACUUUGGAAACUCUACUGCCAUUAUAUAGGAUCCUGAUUCAUGAAAUUACAUGAAUACAUGUAACAGAGUCAUCCUCGAAGUUACAUUCAGGACCUGCAUUCAAUUCAACCAUUCCAAAAUGUCUGGAAUUUGUCGUUCUGAUGGAAUGCAUACCAACCCCACCCUUUCAAACCUUGCAACCUUUUGUUUAUUUUAUUUAAAGAAAACCUCGUAUGCAAUCAUGAGUCAAAUCUAAUUCUAUCACAUUGAUCUGAGUUCAUGCAGCAAGAGGUCAGCAUUUUCAGCGUCACCAACCAACCAAAGAAGCGUAGGUUAGCAGCAAUCGAAUAUCUUUUAUCCAGAUGAGGAAUGAAAGGGAGCUUUACGCGAUGAUUGACCAGCAAGAAAGCAACCUCCGACCACGACCUCCGACCGCUCACCUUUGUCGAGCUGCAGCUCGAUGGCGUCGAGGUCCAUCUCGAGGCGCGUGACAAUGUCGUGGACGUGGUCUACGUGCGUGCCGAGGACGUGCACGAGGAGGUUGGACACCGUCCGCGGCACCGGGUUGUCGGUGUGCGCGCCGUCGGCGUGGUUCAUGGCCAGCAGCGACUCGAGCAGGCGCUCCUCGAUGACGACGCCGCCGUCGACGGCGCAUCCCCCGCCGUGUCCCUCGUCGGCGACGACGCCGAGCGGCACCUCGGAGAGCAGCGACGCCUGCUUGGUCCCGAACGCGAGGCGCGGGACCCCGCCGACGGACACGGUGACGACGGAGCUCUCGGUGACGCGCACGGCGAGGCGGAGCGCGCACGCGCUGCCGACGGGGCCCGGCGAGCUGACCCGGAGCAGGAGCGCGCCUCCGCUGUCCCCGGAGGAGGAGCAGCAGUGCGGGCCCGUGGCGACGAACGCGAGGAUCUCCUGCAGCGUGAGCGGCGGGCAGAGGAGCUCGAUGAGCGCCUGCGCGUGGUGGAGCGGCUUGGCCGCGGAGCGCGGGAGCUCCACGUGGUGCCACGUGAACUCCCCGGGCCUGGGACGCCGCGCCGACCCGCCGGACGCCGACGGCGCCAGGCCCAGGCCCCAGGGCGCCUCGGAGAAGCCGCCAUCGCCGUCGAACACGAACGCGUGGCGCGGCACCGCGCCCGACGGGAGCGGCUUCCCGACCGCGGGGGACGGGGACGGGGGCGGCGGGCCCCGCCUCGGACGCAGGUGGUUGGAGCCAGAGCCAGAGCCGAAGCCGGCUGCCUCCGCGCGCGGGGCGGGCUCGCCGGCGCCGGCACCGGCCGCCAUUGGCAUUAGAAUUUGCGCCCACGCCGCGCCACGUGAAGGCGUAUUAUACCACGGCAUCGCACAAGCUCCAGGGACCUCGCGGUGAAAUCGCGAAAUAUCUCUGGACCUUUCUGCAAAAACGAUCUCGGCAAGCGUUUUGCUAAGCGCUAAGCUUAACCCGGGAAGGUUAGUUUCAAAAAAACUAUAAUACUCCGUGUUAGUGCAUAGUAGUAGUAAUAAUAAUACCAUUUUUAUAUUAGUGCCAAAUACUGCUACAUGGAUAUGUUUUGCAGUAGGAUUAAUUGUAAAGAUAUAUGUUUAGUUAGGGUUGGUGUCGGUGAUUAAUAAUAAACAUUUUCUAGGAGGUGAAGGUGAUUUGAUUGAUCUGGGGGAAGAGGAUGAGGAGGGUGGGUGAUCUUUGCAUGGGUUUGACUAAAUUUGGGAAUCUCUCUGGUUGUGUGCUUGGAGGCUGGAGGUGCAUCACAUGUGCACUGCAGCUGCAAUUGUUAUUAAUUAAUUCAUUAGUAUUAGCCAAACUAGAGUUUUUUUUUUGUUUCAAUGAAAGAUGGUUAUUAUUACUCCAUUUUGGCCUUGUUCAGAUGCAUGUGAGCCCAGUCAGCUUUUCAUGAGAUAAAAAAUGAAAGAAAAUCAGAGAAAACUCUUAGCAAAGGUUUGGAACGUGCCUAUUCAUUUGGCUGAAAGUACUAUUUGCUGAUUUAUUGUGAGAAAAAAUAUUGCUGAACGACUGACAGAUUCGGCAAAUAAGCUCAAGCGAACAGGCUUAGUCCAUUGGUUUGAAUGCAUACGAGUUUUAUUUAUAGAGGCUCUAAGGGUUUGGUUUGCAUGAAAUACUAGCCAGGUCACUCUUCUUUGAGAGAAAAAAAAUACAAAACUAAUCCAACCUUUGUUUUUCCAUGGAAUAUAGUUAACUAACGGUACUACUAGUAGUGUCUUAGUAUUUGUUUUCAAGGAAAAAAAAUGAAUUACUGGGGUCCAGCCAAUGCAGUCGUCGCUUGUGAUCGAGGCUCAGCCCAUUCCUAAAACGGGCCGUGGUCUCGUAGACGAGAAUAGAGCUACCACAGCCCAGCCCAGCCCACCGUGGAAAUGGGCUCCCCUCAUCCUCGCUUUGCGUCACGCGACGUGAACCCCCCGGCGGGCGCCGGCGGCUCCUCGCCGACGUCGUCAUCAGUAACGGAAAAGAGCCCACCCGCCACUCGAACGGGCCGGCGAGGCGGCGGCGCCGGCACGUGACGAGUGACAAGGACAAGCUGAUGAAUCCAUCCCGACCGACCAUGCGCGCAUGGUCCUACAUCCUCCGAGCCGCCCGGGGGUGGUGGUGCGGGCAGCCGCGCGCACCACGAAGCACGAUCUGCGGUCCUCAGGCGCGGGCGCGCGGCGGCGUUAAUGGUCGAGCUUCAUGGCGGGGCCGAGGCCGCGCCGCCGCGGGCCAGCACGGUCCCAUUCCCAUGCGUAUGGCGUUCCAAGCUCCAUGGGGACGACGGCGCGCGCGCCAUGGCGAGGAACAUCCAUGCACUGCACGGCCUUCGAUCGGUGUAGUCCCGUCUCGGUCUCGGCCGCGCCGCCACCGCAGCGCCUCCUUGAUUCCGUGCAGUGCAUAGCAAAGCUCAUUCAGGUGCCGGCUUGGUAGGUGACGCUGACGCAGAAGCAGAAGCAGAAGCAGUCAGUCAGGCCAUCGUCGCCCAGUCCGCGGAGGUGAAUUCAGGUGAGCUUGCCUUUGCCUGCGCCCCCCCCUUAAUUGUUCUCAACCUAUCUAGUACUCGCUAACAAUGGGCGAAAUGGAUUUCGCAUGAACUGAAAACUGUGCUGGGAAUUCGGUCAUGACAUCUUCCUGUUAUCUGAACUUUCAAUCUGGUUACUGCUUACAUCCCCAUCCCUACAAAAUGGAUUUCGCAUGAACUGAAAACUGUGCUGCACAAAGGCACAAACAGCGAAAGAGGCCUGCUUUUUUCUUUUUGUUCGUUUGCCUUCUGGAUAAUCACAUCCAAAUCAGCACUUCAAUCAGUUCAGCACUGUGAAAAAAGUAAAACUGAAAACGACCGACGCAGUUUCUGCAAAGAAAAAACUCUCUAGAGAGUUUCGGCUGCAGAAUCUUCAGCUGGUCAAAUCUUAUCAUGAGGAACGCUCGAAUUAGGAGUGCCACUUUUCUGUGCCCAGUAAAAAGAAGCAGGCAGGCAUACACCCUGUGGCUGGCUAUCACUAUCCUUUCUCCACAAACACAAAGUAGCUGUCUCCAUUUUUCAACCGGAGAAUCCGAAUUUGCAAAGCGCUAGAGUGCAGAGUCGACUCAGCGUGUCUAACAUUGGUAGGGCAAGAAUAAAAAUUCCAGGACACGAUGCUUGCUUCGCUCCUUUCCAUUCCUUUUCGGCUCUCAAAGUACACAGCAGGCUAGCGCACGCACACGGCUGGCUAGCGUAUUUACAUUUUUCAGAUCUUUUGCUGCUCAACAGUUACUUGUUUACUUAUAUAUAUAUGACAUCAAGCUUCAAAACACACUUGAUUUUACAUUAGCUGCUGUUGUUGUUGUUGUUGACGAUGAUAGUAGUUAUACAUGUCCACGAAGGGUUUAGUCUAUAGGCAACCCCUGGGACGAUUUCCGGAAGGAGUUCUUGGUCAUCUUUUCCAUGAGGUGACACCAACGGCGACAUUGCUCACCUGGAACAGAUCAGAAGAAACAAAACAGUCAAGUCUGAUUGAUUGUUCAUAGUUCACUUGGUGACUUUGACAACGAGGGAAAACCAACGAACUAUGGUCAUAGUGUUUGAGAUAAGCUCACCAGUUUGCCCUUUUCAUCCAGUGUCUUAGGAUUCUCCACCAGAACCGUCUGGGGCCGAGCAUCCUGCAAGGAGCAUGAAAGUUGAGCGAAUAAAGCCUGUUUCAUUAUCGACGAACAUUUGACAUCAGUCUGAAUUUAGACGGUUUGCUUCAACCCGAUGGACCAGUGCUUUCAUCGCAGCACUAGAUGGUCCAAGGAUUUCAAGCGAAAAAUCUCUCGGUGGGACGCGUGCGGAAUGUGCUAAUCAUUGGUACUUGCCUACUUGAGGAACUGAUUCCCAUGCAAACCAUGGAGCAACCUGAACCUACCAAAGUUGUGAUUUUUAUGAAGGACAACCCCACAAUUGAUGCAACAAAAGGGUGGUUGUGCUGUGGUCAUCAACUGCUUAAUGGUCCCAUCCCAUAGGGCCAUAGAAUUACUUUGGACACCAAUAGUACUACCUCCUAAUAACUUUUGGUGUUCUAUAUAUGUGUGGAACUGUACUGACUGUGGAGACUAGGCAAAAAAAAAAGAAAGACUAACCGAUGGCGCUGGCCGUGCAGAGCCACCGGUGUGGUUGUUCUGUAGGAAGUAGUUUGUAAACGGAAUAUGAGUUGCGAUUGAUGACAUAUGCAACGACGAAGAGAAGACAAAUUCAGUUGUGCAGUACACAUACCCUGACUGGAUUAAUGUUGCGGCAUGUUGGGCACCCGACUGUCGUCGCUCCCGGUGGGUAUGCCAGAGUUGUCCGGCAUUGCCCGCAUGACAGGUGACCCAUUUGGUUUCCUGCUUCAGUUUAGGAUCAGGAAACUUGUGUCAGCUGGAGGAAGAAACUUGCAUGAGAAUGCAGUUGUAGCCUGUUUGUUGCAGGCAGACUAAAGGGAAUUGGACAUGAGGUUUCACCUGAUCUUGUGGAGUUGAGCCUACUACAGUGAGGGCAGCGUAUGUUGGUGGCGCUGCGGGAGUGCACCAGCAUGGUGAAGCAGCCGCCACAGACGAGUUCAGACAUCUCCGGUCCUAGAGGAAACAAAAGCAGAGUUUUUCGCUGAGAAAACUGGACUGAACAGGCAAUUGUAUCUUUGCUUCUUUAGACUGUAGCAUCAUCACGAUCGGACAAGGGAAAAAAGGCUUUGUGCUUUAUGCUGAUAUGUGUAUAGUAUACCUGAUGGGUUGGCGGCUGUGAAAGUGUUGCAGGUUGGGCAGCAGACGCCGGUGGCUCCCCUGCGGUACUGGAGAAGACGCUUGCAGCCGCCGCAGACCAACUGGCUAUGCAUGCCUGCAGUUGGAAAUUAUAUUGGUGCGGUUAGAAUUCCAAAUCCCAGUUCAGGUGCAAGAAGAUGCAACACUUUGAUCUGACAAUGGUAAAACAGGCUACCCUUUCUCUCUGAACUUCAAGAAAAAAAAGAAAAGAAAAGGAGGAUGAACUACACAGCAUGUAUAUUUUCUACUGCAUUUGCGACCGUGUUUUGCUAUAUGUAUUUGAAGAAAAGGAAAGGAUGGUGGCAUGAACGUGGACUGGUCACAUUUUGCGGCGGGCAAAAUUCGACAUGCACACAAGGCAGGUGCGCUAGCUGUGUGCUGUGCAUGGAUGGAUCAACCUUGCCUGAGAUCUAUAUAUGAACUUGUUCUGUAUGCAGGUUGUUGAAGGUGAGGAGGAAUUGUAAAGCACGGUACGCACGCAAUGCAUAACCUGUUUGCUAGCUAUAGGCAGGUGAGAAACUCAGAGCUGCUGCUUGCUAAACCCAAGCAUGCAAGGUAGGUAUACAUAUCAUAGACCAAGAAUGGAAGAUGUAUUACCAAGGCAAGAACACCGGCCGAGCUAGAAUGGACGGCGCCUUUGAACUGCAGCUAAUUAAUGAAGCUAGCUCUGAAGGUGUGCAGCAAGCUAGCAAAGGAGAGAGGGGGAGAUGAUAACGAUGAUGGAGAGAGGGGUUUGGGUUGUGGAGCUCCACGGUGGCAGGAGACGGGGGGCAGGGAUCAUAUUUAAGGGCGGGCGGGAGCGCGGGGGAUGGCCGGCCGGCCGGCCAGCCGAGGUGGAUUCUCUCAUCUCUGGGGCAGGGGGAAUGGGAUGGGGGGAUAGAUUAUUAUUCUCGCUGGCCUGGCCUGGCCCUGGCCAUGGAGGAAUCCCGGAAAGAAACCGACGUCGGCGCCGGGGGAGAUGAUGCUGAGUGGAUGGAUGGGCGAUGCGUGUGCGUGUGCCUGCCUGGGAUGGAUGGAUGCCUUUCGGAUAUGGCCGAAUUCCCCUGCCCCCGCCAUCUCUCAGCUGCCUAGCUAGCUAGCUCUCUUCCCCGACCUCUCCUCCUCCUCCUUGCAUAGUUCCAUCGAAUCUCCACCCCCCGUUGGCGCCAAUAAUUCCUUCCGCUUGCUCCAUGGGGCGGCUUCCCUCAAGAACAAUAACCUGCUGGAAUUGUUAAUCCUCGCUAGAAUAGAUCGGAGGGGGCGGAUUCGGUUCUGACUUGUCAAGCCGGCCGCGACAAGUGUGUGCUAGGCUAGCUUUACACCUCGGUUUGGAAUUGCGGUUUGAAUUCCGCCUAGGGCCUAGCUUUAGCUUGGCGCGCCUUCCAACUAGAGCUUCAGAGCUAGAGGAGCAAACCUUUCCGUUGGAACUGUAGCUUGGAGGCCGUACGGACACCCACUUUGUAGGCCUUGUUUAGUUCACCCUAAAAUUCAAAAACUUUUCAAAAUUCUACGUCACAUCAAAUUUUAUGAUACAUGGAGCACUAAAUAUAGACGAAAACUGUAAUUUACGAGACAAAUCUUUUGAGUCUAAUUAGGCCUUGUUUAGUUGGCAAAAAAUUGAGUUUUUGGCUACUGUAGCACUUUCGUUUUGUCCAAUCAUAGAGUAACUAGGCUCAAAAGAUUCAUCUCACAAAUUACAUGUAAACUAUGCAAUUAGUUUUUAUUUUUGUCUAUAUUUAAAGCUCCAUGCAUGCGACCAAAGAUUCGAUGUGACGGAGAAUUUUGAAAAUUUUUGCAAACUAAACAAGGCCUUAGCCUAUAGUUGGACAAUAAUUGUCAAAUAAAAACAAAAGUAUUACAGUGUUAAAAUUUAAAAACUUUUCGCAACUAAACAAGGCUUUAUUCUGCCCCCUCACUCCAUCCACGAAAAACUUUCGGUGGAUUGUACUUUGAACUAUCUUUUUCUUUUUAAUGAAAUACAUGCCACGUAUGUUCUCUAAAAAAAACUCCAUUGACAAAAAAAAUGUAAUUACGGAACCACAUCUAAUAGUCCCUCACUCCAUCCACAGAAGAAUGUAACUACGGAACUGCGCUAGUCAAACUAGUUCAUGUCUUACCAAGUUUAAAGUAAAUAAAUUUAACAUUUGUGGCUUUAAAUAUAUUUAUCAUAAUUAUAUAUUCUAUAACUAAUCAAAUGGUACUUAUUUUGUAUACUUUAGUUAAAAUUUAAAUUGUUUGAUUUAUCGAAAAAAUGAAAAUUGCAAAUUUUUGUGGACUGGGGAGUACUACCCCCACGUUCCUCUCACUAGAUAAUGUUUAAGUACUCCGUGCCAUAAAAAACACUUGUUAGGUUAAGUCCCUGUUUAGAACAUGGGGAUUUUUUUUUCUGUAUUCCUACAUUUUUCUACAAAAUCGAACUGAUUUUUUUUUGUGAAAUUCAUGUAUGAUUCUUAGAAAAUUCAUGUAUAUUCCAAACAGAUUUUAAACUUUGUAUGGUCUUCGAUGUGCAUUUGUAUUUAUUGAUUUUUUCCUAUAAUAUGUAAUCUUGAAAUCAUUUUCCUUUUGGACUAUAUAUAAUACUGCUAUUUUCUUCUGAAUUGAGGCUGUUUGGAUAAGUCCAUUUCCUAUAUCACUAUAUGUAAAUUGAGUGGACUAGAAGAAAAUUUUCAUUUGCCUCUUCAAUCCACUUGUAUUGAUCUGCAUCUAUUAGUAAUUUAGUAUUGAUAAAUCCCAUGGCUAUUUCGUUUCAAAAAAAUCCCAUGGCCAUCGAAAAUAAGUUCCCGAAUUCUCCCUUUGAUAUCAUCUACUCCCUUCGUCCUACAAAUAAACGUAUUUAUUUGACUUCUAUGAUUCAUGUUUGACCGUUUGUCUUAUUCAAAAAUUUUUAGUAAAUAUUAUUUAUUUUUUAUGACUUAUUUUAUUGUUAGAUAUAUUUUUAUAAUGAUUUAUUUAUUUUAUUAUUUGCACAAAAAAUUUAAAUAAGACAAAUGGUCAAACAUGAAUCGUAAUAGUCAAAGAAAUGUAUUUAUUUGUGUGGCGGAAUGAGUUUGUUGCGCUGUCCUUCAUGCAGAAGUGAAGGAAAGUGAAGGAAAGGAUCCUACAUUGGAUGAAGCACUUCAAGCCUGCCGUGCUGGUGUCUACAGACAUUCAAGAAAUUUAGUUCUUGUUCUAGGCUGUUUAGUGCUUCUUUUGAUUUUAUGACAAACUGGUAUUCCCAGUAUGGUAUCUGACAUUUGCUUUCUUAAAUGCUGAGGUAAAACUCUUUAUAAAAAGUAUUGAUAAAUCCUAGGAAUAAUCAAAUCCCAGAAAUAAUCAAAGAAUAAUAAGGAUUUAGGGGGUAUUUGGUUUACUCCUCGUCUCCUAAAUCUAGUCUCAUCUAGUCACUUUUACUCGAACACUAUGACUAAAUGGGACUAAAAAGUGUAUUACCUAACUACUCACCCAAGUGUUGCUAAAUAGGACUAAAGCCCACCUUUUAGCCAAGCUGUGAAUCCAAACACCCUGACUAAAAGGUCUCUUUUAGUCUCUUUCCGUCCACCAAACUAAGGGGGUAUUUGGUUAUAUAACUAAAGUUUAAUAGGUGUCAUAUCAGAUGUUACAUAUGGUGGUCUAUAGGAUAUUUGGAUACUAAUAGAAAAAUAAAUUACAGAUUCCAUCUGCAAGACGAAUUUAGUAAGCCUAAUUAAUUUAUCAUUAGCACAUGUGUACUGUAGCAAUUAGUGUCUAAUUAUGGAGGCUUUAAAAAAUAGUCUCGCAAAUUAGUCUCUAGCUAUAUUUUUAGUCUCGUAAAUUAUUUAUAUUUAAUACUUCAUGUAUGUGUCCAAAUAUCUAAUGUGAUAUGGACUAAAGUUUAGCAACAGUAACCAAACGAGGUCUAAACAUGGGCAUGACUAAACUUUAGGAGCUGGUUUGGGUGACUAAACUUGAAGUGGUGUGAACCAAACACGUUCUUACUCAUGAGCUCGCAGAGGAACUUAUUGGGCGCCUAAGUGCAUGUCGUGAGGGUCAGCAUGGGUCUUUGCCUUUCACUCUCAUUGUAUAGACUAGACUUGUUUUCUUCUUAUGAAUGACAGAACUGUACUCCCACUCUCAUUUCCUAGAAUACAUAUAGAUCAAACAAACCCUGUAGUUACACCAUGGCUUAAUUACUUUUUGGUGCCAAUGCCAUCCAAAGCAUUUUGUCGUCGUCACCAUAUCGCGCUGCUCGUUCUCCGACAAGAACUAGAUGAGCUAUCUACGAUGAGCAUCUACAAGUCUACAUAUCAUCAAGAUGGGCUAUGGUUGCACGACUUUUAGUUCCCCUUAGAUAUUUUGGCAUUGCCCAUGCGUGCAUGCAUAGUAGUAGGCGAUGCACGCUACCACCAAUCUUAGGUUGCAGCAAAGGGCCAAAAUACUCUCUCCAUUUUAUAGGCUUCACUUUAAGCAUAUACAUUUUAAAAGAUCCGUGCUCGAGCAAGUUGAUACGAACGGCCCCGAUCUUUUACCAACGACGAUUUGAUGAAAACUAGACACUAAUCCGGCUUUAGAUAUAUGAAAAUAUCUAAAACCUUGUAACCUUAGCGCAACAUAUCCUCUAGUUAUCAACCAUCUAACUAACUACCCGGUUGACCUCAUUGAGAAGGUUAAUCCCUUCCUCGAAGAAUACAAGUGAAAAAUCUCGAAGAACACAAUCUAAAUCAAAGUGACAACUACCGAUGUAUGAUUAAGCACUCGAAAUUAAGGUCUCAUAAAUUGAUAACUGACAACUACUCAAAGACAAAUUAAUCUAAAUCAAAACUCAAAAUCUAACAUAAUCUAACAAAUGACCAAGUAUACCUAUUUGUGUCUCAGAGUCCUAACAUAUUACAAGCUCAAUGGUCCAAAAGAUGAUGGCAUAUUACCCUGACAGAUUCUGAAUGAUAACUUUUUAACAAUUUCCAUUGAUUUCAAAUGGAUUUUAAAGUAUGACCAAUGCCAUUGAAAAUAUUAUCUCUUUAGCUUUCCAUGCAUAGACAGAACAUCCAAAACGGAGUCCAUAUGUGACCUAGACAUCCGUUUUGGCAUGGACUGCUCCUAGAAUCUAAGAUAGACUCAAACAUAUGUAUUAGGCCUUCAACUUGUCUUGGACGUACAUUGGCCUUCUAAGGUGGUGUCCAAGGAGAAUGAUGUCCUUGGACAUCCUUGAAGGGUUAUCCACAUAGUUAGGGUGUGCUCCCACUUCUUCUAGGCUCCCAAGGGCGAUUAACAGGCCCACAACGGCAUCAUAGUACUCGACAUAAUUAGUGGAAAUAUUUCUUGAUUAUUUGGAGACCUUGUCAUGUGAUAUUGAGGUCAGAUCAGGUUUAUUUGAAGGUUUUCAAAUAAGUUUUUCAUCAAGUACUCAUGGACUGAUGGACCUUAAUCGCACUCCAAUGGAAGAUUUAUGGCCUUCAUAGUAGAGUAUUGUGAGUCUGUUGAUAAACCAAAUGUUUAGCUUCGAUGGCCUCGCACUCCGAGGUCGGUCUAAUUUUGCAUGGUGUAUCCACACCCCCAUCUGUUGUAGAGAACAUAGAAAGAGUCUUCCCCAUGUUUGCAUCGUCAUUAUCAUCACUCUUACUUAUAUCAUUGUGCAAACAUACGCACGAGCUCACUUGUUUUUAACUUUCAUGGGCACGUUUGUAGGUGUCUUGUCCUAAGAAAAAUAAUAAAAAACAUGUAAUUAUGUAUCUUCAAAAUUUAUUUCACUAAAACAAUACCAUUGCACUACACUAGAAAGAGAUAGAAAAUCCUAUCCAACGAUUGAUAACACUAGCAUAUACAAAGAUACAAUAACUUAGUUGGUUUAAUUCCAUUAUAUUAUCAUGCCUAUAGCUAAAACAACUAGAACUUUAAUCAUAAUUUGGUAACUGUACAUCCAAAGGAACUACCAUUCAUAACCCUAACUUUAGCCAAUUUAUUAUAGCUAUCUAAAUCUAAUUUAUUAUCCAUAUAAUUUUACCCAUAACCCUAGAUCAAAGAAAUGUAAAAAAAUAAGGUUUUGAUCUACACAAUGUGUAUUUUUACUAGGUGAAGUACUAAGCCUAGUACUAUAUGAUAACUUGGACUUCCUAGCAUAUCUGAAAAAAAAACACCCAUUAAAUUGCAAAUUUCCACCCAUCAAAGCAAACACAGUUGUAACAAGAGAAGAACUUGAUCCUGUAUAGGUCUUAUCGCGCUAGAUGGCGUGGUUCAACACACUGAUCCCCAGCCCAGUCGCCCGAUAGUGCCAGCAUGGCUAACUCUCGUGUCCCAGUCGCCUAAUAGUGCCAGCUUGGUGUAAUACCUGAUUGUAAGAACAAAACUUUUUACACCCAGCCCAAUUUAGAAUAUGGCCCGUGGUGACCUAUGUGCAUAUUAUGAGAUAACUAUGGAGGGUUUAGUCCCACCUUAGUUGUUAAGAGUGGGUUAGACCAACAUAUAAGAGCAUCUCCAGCAGACUAUCUAAAUGGACUACCUAUCUCCAAUCUGAGUAGUGGAGUCCUAAAAAUCCACUUCAGCAGACUACCUAUCCACCCAAUAGAUUUGUUGGCUACCCAAAUCUGAGUAGCUAGUUUUAGAAGUAUUGCUGGAGUUGAGAGCAAAAUCUAGAUAGUAUUAAAAUAGGUGGCUACCCAAAUAGACAUUUAGGUAGUUUGAUUUAGGUAGCACUGCUGGAGAUGCUCUAAGGCUUUUAGAGUCCAUCCCAUCAUCUUCGGGUUAAUCCUUUUACGCGAAGUGAGGGCCAAAGCAUAAGUGGGAUGAUAGUAAGUAAGUGGGAUGACGGUAAGUGUGGUUCGCUCAGUGUUUAGAGUAGUCCUGUUAUGCUAGACACUAAAAGGGUUAGAUUAAAAAUAUUUUUUUAGUCAGAUCAUUAAUAAAAUAAUAAUCAUUAAUAUUUUUUUAAAGAAAAAGAUCCUCCAACACAAGUGGUUGUCGAAGAUGUCUGUUCUUGGAAUGUUGGUGAUUAAUUCAGUCGAUACUAAUUAUCUGCCCCACCCAUAUGAAUAUGACGUGGCAAAGCAUAUGAAACCACUUGAGAGUAAGAAAAGAUCUUACUAAUAAUGAGCUCAAAGGUGGUUGCAUCUCUAGUACUGUAGCGAAUAGCAGUAGUUAGUUACAGAUUCUCCAUUUAGAGGCGUCGCCCUCGAUGCCAUGCACCUUUCCUAGUCAGACGACCAUUGCAGCUGCCAUGUGGCAGUGUGAUCCUUCAUACAGUUAUGCCACGUCGGCUUUGUUCUCUGGCGUCAAAUCAUUAGCAAAUGUCAAAGGGAAUACCUGUACAGGAGUCCAACGCGUGGAUGGCUACCAUUGCGUGCCCCUUUUAUGGGAAUCCCCGCGGGCGGCUCGUCAAUAAUCGUGCGAGCUCUCCUGGCAUUGCAAGUUUAGUUUACCCCAAAAUUUAAUUUUUUUGUUAAAGAUUCUCCUUCACAUCGAAUCUUACAACACAUGUAUGAAACAUUAAAUGUAGAUAAAAAAAAUAAUUAAUUAUACAGUUUGUCUGUAAAUCGUGAGACGAAUCUUUUGAGUCAAGUUAGUCUAUGAUUAAACACUAAUUACCAAAUAUAAACAAAAUGCUAUAGUAGCGAAAUCUAAAAAGUUUUUAGAUAUAAACAAGGCCUAAUAAAAUUAAAAAACUAUAAUUAAAAAUGACUAAUAAUGUUGAUUAAAAUAGUACUUCCUCUCCGUGGAUAAAUCAAUUCCUAGUAUUGUCUUAAAUCAAACUUUUCAUGUUUAACCAUGCUUAUAAAAAAUACAAUAAUAUUUAUGAUAUCAAAUGAACAAAUUCUAAAAUAUAUUUCGUAGCAUAUCAAAUGGUUAACUUAGUAUCAUAAAUUCUGGUGCUAUUUUUAUAAAAUCGGUUAAAUAUUAAAAGAUUUUACUUAAGAUAACUCAAAUUGAUUUAUCUAAGAACGAGGAGAGUAGUUUUUGUAAGGAAACUGAACCCUUUCUUUUAUCCUGAGCGGAUAAAUUAUAUUCUUCUUUGGCUAUAAUGCCCCCACUGAUUUUGAUUUUUUUUUUGUAUCCAUGGAAAGAUGCCACUGCAAAGUUAGUUUUGCGACAUUUGGAAAAUGAUGUAUAUCAGAUUCACUCGUGUGGGUCAUGGAAUCAUAUGUCAAGCUCACUCAACUUGCAUAUAUUAUCCUGGGUGCAUCAUUUUUUGCCACUGUGUUGUAUCUAUUUCUCAAAAUCCGUAUAAUUUGUCGCCACUCAGACUCAUUAAGAGAAUCUUUACCCAAUUUGGAUUAGAUUUUCCAUAUUAACAAAAGGUACAACUAAAUCAUGUUUGCCUUUUUUCACAAUAAAAAAAAUGUUAGGAGAAAAUCUCAUCCUCAUGUCUAGUUAUUAGAUCAUACAUGUAUAUGAGGCCUUCCCAAUUUUUUUGAGGCCUUCCCAAAUUAUUUUUAACCUCUUGUUCAAAUUUGGGGGUAUUUAAACUUUUUUUAGUAUAUUUCAUUAGUUUUUUUUGUUUCAUUGAUUUUUUUUGCAAACUUCAAAUUUGAACUGUAGGUGCAUUAAAUAAUGGAAUUUCUUUACCCAAUUUGAACAUCGGAUGCUUAAAACCUAGACAUCUCCAUAUGGGGUCAUAAGUGAUCACAUGUAAAGAUGUCUAGGUUUUACACAUCCAACAUCGCAACUUGUUCUAAACCUUCCCAAUUUUUUAUCAUAGUCUCUACAUGUGAUAAAAUGACCCCCAGACAAGUUUCUUGAUUUUUGGACUUUUUAUGGAUUUUAUAUAAUUUAAAAACAUUUUUUCCGCAAGUUGUUUCUAAUGUUACAGCAGGAAGAUGUUUCACAUUUCAUUGAGCUUGUGGAUAUGGUCUUAAAAUACACCAAAUAUCGUGAAUAUCAUUUUUUGAAUAAAGAAAUUUCAUUAUUUAAUGCACCUGCAGUUCAAAUUUGAAGUUUGCAAAAAAAUCAAUGAAACGAAAAAAACAAAUGAAAUAUACUUAAAGAAGUUUAAAUAUCCCCAAAUUUGAACAAGAAGUUUGAAAUAAUGUGGGAAGGCAUCAGAAAAAAAUUAGGAAAAAAAACUAAAAAAAAUCUUCCACGAGUGCCUUUGAGUGCCUUUCUUAGCUCUACAACACUCGGGGAAGCCAACAUUUUCCCCGAGUGUCAUGCAUUAGCACUUGGGAAAAGGCGCCUUCUCCGAGAGUUUUUUUGGCACUCAGGGAAGAUUUUUUUUUUAUUUUAAGCUCCGACGGCGUCGUUUGUUUGGGACGUCAAGAAACACUUUUCUUCCCCGAGUGCGGCUCUUCCCCGAGUGUUGCGCUCAGGGAAGAGGACUUUUUACGAGUGUCAUUCUUCCCUGAGUGCCAGGUAGGCUACGACACUCGGGGAAGCCUCUCUUCCUCGAGUGCAAUUCUUCUCCGAAUACAACACUCGGGGAAGAUUGGCUCCGAGUGCUCGAUUUUUAGCACUCGAAAAAGCUUGUGACACUCGAGAAAUUUCGAUUCUCCCGUAGUGUAUAUAUGGGCCACCUCAUGCACCGGUUCAUCGAGGAGAGAGACAAAAAUGUUGUCAGAAAGGAUGAGUCGACUCAAAGAGCACAAAUCCAUGGUGAGCCCCAUAUAGAAAUAAAAAACAUAUAUCUCUCUUCGUAGCCUGGCCUGAUGGUGUUCGUUUGGGCUUAUCAGUCGAAUCUGCUAGCCAUUCAACAGUGUUUUUCUCUCACAAUAAAUCAGUCAACAGUACUUUCUGCCUCCGCCUGGCUGAGAGGAAGGUUCAUUCUUCCCUCCUCCAAAACCUUUGUUUAUUCAUCAUGAAUCGACUCAUGAUCUUGCAUCGGUUCAAUUUCUCUCCUUCAUGAGUCGCCUCGUAUAGUGAUUAAGUUGAUUCAUCGGAACACCAUAUUGGACGAUGAAUGGGUUUCAAAAAAGCCACUGGAAAAAGGCCUAUUUCUUCUGUUACCUCCUAGAAGAUAAUUAUAUAUGAUAAUUGUUAUUUAGUUCAGUUCAAUGGUUCAUAAUUAUUUCGAAGGUAAUUAUUUCGAAGUACCAUACCUGUUUGACUUAGUAUAAAACUAAAUUGAGCUACAUUUUGGAGCCUAUAGAGCAAAAAACAUGCAAAUGCUUAUGUACGUACGCCCUCCACAUACAUGCUCUCCAUUACUCCUUCCGGUGACAAAAAAGUGAUAUUUGACUUUUGAGGUUGAUCUUCGAAGCUUUGACUACAAAAUACUACUUUUUACGUGUUGAGUUCAAAUGCUUGGAGUGGUAUGAGUAGAUUUGUGUUAUUCUCUCUGUACAAAAGGAUUUAAUAUGAGAUUUGUACCGGUUAAAUUAGUUUAAGCUUGUAAUAAAUAGCAUUCAUAACAUUCAUGCAUCCAAUGAAGUUUACUAUAAAAAUAUAUUCUAUAACUAAUUUUGAUACUUACUUUGUAUUAUGAAUGUUAAUACUUUCUUAUAUAAUUCAAAGUUCAAAUUGUUUAACUCAUCAAAAAGUGAAAAUUGCAACUUUUUGUGGACAAAGGGAGUAAAAAAGAGCUUCAUAAAAGUAUAUGAUUUAUUUGUUAGUUAUAGGUACAAACAAUAGCAAAAUCCAAUGUAUAGAAUAUAUCUUCUCAGAAUAUAUAAUCCAAAUACAUACACGUACACCAUCGUCAUUUGAGUAUGUUUGGUACAUGCCACAUUUGUCACGCCAAAUCUUCUACAAAUGUGGUUGCCAUAAAAAGUUUGGUGAGAAAAAUUAAAGCCACACUUAUGACAAAGAUUGGCAAUAAAAUGAGUCUAUGACGUGUGGCUUAGUGUGCUAAGAAAGUACGCGGCAUGUCAUAGUUGUGGCAGCGAACCAAACAAGGGUUAGAAAAAUUAUGACAUGACUAACGACGUGUGUCAUGGCAUGUUAUGGUCACGAACCAAACAGGCAUAUUGACUGGAGAGUAUAUUAUAUUGAUGCUAUAUGCAUAUCCUUGUGUGUAAAGUUGCAUGGAUGCAUGUCUGGAGGAUAAGCUAGCCGUCGACGUGUCUUUAUUGGAAGCUGGAACACCACGUAGCAAUUCUUAUCGCCAAUGUUAUCCUCCUCUCCGGCUUGUAGUAGCCCAGUCUUUCGACAAUUAUUCUCUCUACUAUCACGCUGUCCCUACAUUCAUGCACACGGCCAUAUAUUAUCAGCAAGCUAUAACUACCUAGAGUUCCGAUACUUCAUCUUAUCACGCGCCAUGCAUGAACCUAACUAGCAUAGGUAGGGUGAUUUGUACGAGACAAAUGGAACGUUCGAUGAAUUCAUGUACCAAAAUAUUAGUCCCUUUUGAUCCAUAGAGCUAACAAGUAAUAACUGCUAACGAUUAGUGCUGGAACUCUGGAUCCAAACGAAUACUAUGGCCCCGUUUGGCGCGGCUUCUCCAGCGGCUUCAAGAGCCGUUUGGAGCCGUUUUGUGCCAAACGGGGUAAAAUAGAAUGGCUCCACCAAUGAAGCCCCCUAAAAACAUGUUCUCACAGAGCUCUGGGGUGUGAAGGAGCCAAAAAUAGUGGCUUCUUCCGGCUUCACCUCAUCCUACAUGGCGUUAUGUGAGAGCAUAUUUUAAGGAAAGAGUUGUUUUGCCAAACGAUUUAUCAAAAUAGCUUAAACUCCACCGAUAGAGCCAUUCAUGGAGCUGAAGCCCCAAAAAACAGCUUCACUAAUGAAGUGGAGAAGGGCCUAUAGAUAACUAACAGGGUCGCUAGUUGUAAGUAGGGCACCUAUACUUCAUUCUUCCAACGAGUACAUACAUUAUUGAGGAUGGCCCUACGAGAAAAGCAAAUACGACCGAAUGUGGUAUAUAUAUUGAUCAUUAUAUCUCUACUUAUUUUCUUCAGAAAAGAUACUGCAUUUCAUCGAUUUCUGAAGAAUUAUUCAUGACAAAUUUUGUUAAUAAUGCUCAAUUUUUUUAUGGUGUUUCGGCCCAUGCAUACAUUAUCUACAAACUAAAAUGAGAUUAGCAAUUUAAUGCAAUCAGCUGUUCAUUCUAAUAGCCUAGGGAGAGCCAUUACUGGAACAACGCUCAUGCACCCAAGUGGAAGGAGAAAUAUGUCUAAGGUUUUGCUAGUGGAAUAUGCACUUGUGCCACAAAUUUCUUUAUGAGGCAACAGCAUAUUCUGUCUACUAGGAUAGCAUAGCAUACUAAUGCCUAAAGUAGAAAAGUGCGCACAUAGAUUGCCCAAUAAAAGAACAUAGAAUUUUAAGGGAUGCGAAUGCGAAUGAUUGAAUUUUUAAAAUUUCAUGCAUAGCACCCCCAGUUUUCGGCCUAUUGCACUUCAGAAUAGCUCCUUAGUUUGUUUUUCAAAUAAAGGAAAAAAGUUUCAGCUUGCAUCGUAUAAUGCAUACAACCACCCUCACUUAUUAUACCAUCCAAAACUUAAAACAAAAUAAAAUACAAAGUAUGUGCAACAUUCACUGCUAAAAAAACUUUUUUUAGAGAUGGCUAGAAUGAGUUUUGAGAGGCGAGUGCUUCAUCCGCCUCUAUCGUCUUUGUAUAUUUUUUACAUAGGUGGCUAUCCAGAAAUCCCUAAAAUCAAUUUUAGAGAUGGGUUGAAAUUACCAAAUCACCCUUAAAGUUUGAUUUCUAGAUGGGGACCGAAGUUGAGACAUCUCUAAAAGUUGCUCUCUGGAAUUUGAAAAUCCAGCCAAAAAUUAGCAAAAAAAGGUUUACCUCGGGAGAAGCUCACUACACAGCCCCCACGAUCACAUGUGUGGCCCAUAGGGGAUCAAAUUUAGAGAGCCUUUGACCUUGCAUUUUCCUUACCACGUACUCUAAGCUACUUGCAAUGGCGGAUCUAGAAAAAUAAGUCAGAAGGAGCUUAUCUUAUAAUAUUCCAUCCUUAGCCUCUCUUUGUAAACUUGAAUAGGUCUAAAUUAGUAGGAGGGGCUUAGGAAGGGCUUCAAGGUCCACUCUCUGCCCCGGUGCUGGAUCCGCCCUUGGCUACUUGUGACCAAGUGGCUAAUACAAUCCUUUUGUAUUUACUUUAACAAAUACUGUAAUAAAUAAAAUAUUUGACAUCCUAAACAAAUUUAAAUGAAAAAGAUUAAACUGAAAAAUUAGUGCAUCCUUUCUCCGUUUAAGUUGUUUGAAAAAAAUUAAAAGAAUUUGAAAAAUUGAAAACAUAGAAUUUUUUGGCCUUAAAUUUUUUCAAGUGAAAAAGGUCAUUAGAUACAAAAUUAUAGUCUCAUCGAGAUGUAUAACUUUGGUAUAAAGUUUAUCUUUAUUUGUCUGGAUUUUAAAAGUUAUGAAUUUUAUCGUGCUGCACAUAUUUUCAAAUGCGAGCCAAAUUGCGAACUGCCUCUAGAAAUCCAUUUCUAUAGACAUGGAUGUUGUAGAAUUUAUUGUUCUAGUAAUUGUGUAUCAUGGUAGCAAAUUAGAUGGGGGUAGCACAUCAGACACAGAUUUAUACUGGUUUAGGUAUGAAGUACCUAAGUCCAUUGUAGAUGAUGAUCUUUAUUGUUUGUGCGCCAAUUGGGCUGAGUUGCGAGUAGGGGAUCACAACAUUGUGGCCAUGGGUGGAGCUAUCUUGAGGAUGAGCUCGAUCUAUACUGGAUCUAAGUUGGGGUGAUCUUGGGGUGACCGAUCAAGGGUUCCCUGCCCCUCCUUACAUAGUCCAAGUGUAGGGUUAGAGGUAGAGUCCUAAUCAGUUGAUAUGUAUGUUUCCUAGUUUAUUACAAGAAAAUCUAAUAGUGGAGAGUUGGUUUAAUUUCUAAGUACAUUUUGGUAUGACUUGUCCAUCAAGUAGUCGAGGUAGCCUCAUCCAAUUUGUGUAACGAGUCAAAGUCUUUCCAAUUAAAACUUUUAAUAGAACCUUCUUGAUCACCUUGCACAGUCCCUCAAACUCCCAAGAACCAUCUUGUGAAUCUCUUUAAGGAUUCCUGGUAUUCUCUACAAGGACAAGGACUCCAAAUUCGCAACUCAAUCCCAUUGUGGGGGUAUAAACCCUCAUACCCUUACGGCUAGACUUGGGCCAGGAGGCUUGGUCCAUUACGAGAUGAGUUCGAGGCUUGAUCCGACUGCUCGGAGUUUCGCGCAAGGAAACAAGACGUGGAGAUCAAGCAGGAUUGUAGCCGGUUAGAAUAGGAAUUGAUAUUGAGCUAUCUAUGGCAAUUGUAACCGACUAGGAUUAGUUUCCAGAUCUGUAACCCUGCCCUCCAGACUAUAUAAGGAGGGGAAAGGGACCCCCCUUAAGACACAUUAUUCUCAAUCCAAUACAAUCAGACGCAGGACGUAGGUAUUACGCCCACACGGCGGCCGAACCUGGAUAAAAAGCUUGUCCGUGUCUUGCGUCACCAUUGAGUUCAUAGUUUGCGCACCGUCUACUGAUAAACUAUUACCGUGGUUAUACCCCAAGGUAGACUGCCGACUAGCUUUCGUCGACAGUGGCGCGCCAGGUAGGGGGUGUGCGUACAACUUUUCCAGCGAACAAGAUGGUCAUCGUUCCAGCUUCUGCAGCCGUGCCUGAAGGCCUCACAUUCACCGUCGGCCAGAUUACGUGGACAACCCGCGGCGGUGGCCCCACGGUCACGGUUUCGGAAGAAACCCAGAUCCGAUCUGGGAUGACGGCGACAUCGGCUCCGACCACGCGGACACCGGCACCGAGCACGCGACCACCGCUUCCGCGCUACAGGGGAAAGAAGAUCGAUGGCUCGGACCUUUUCCGAGCCCUUGAUCGCGUCGAUCUCAAGCUUCUCGAAGCUUCCCGACCAAUAGAUGGGAUCUCGCGCCAGCCUGACCAAGCCACGUCAACGGAUUUUUACAACUCCCACCGGCCAACUCGUGUCGUCACACACGAACAGCUGGGAACAUCUCUGACGAUAACCUCGACCGCCUCAGGACAGUCCGUCAAACUCGAGGCUGGUCCACAUCAAGGCUCUCCUUACGGGCUGAACAAUUCGGCCGUUCACUACUCACGGCACAUCUAAUCCCUCUUCAACGGGGCUGGUUGGUCGCCAAAGCGGAGCAAUCGACCAGCUCGUCACUACGUCAACAUGGUGACGAUCCGAGAACUACGGGACGGCCAGGCUUCCAGCACAAACUCUAGCACUAGCUCCGUUCCUACCGAAGUCAUAAAUUCCAAGGACGAAGACUACGACCUGGAUUUACCACCGUAUCCUCCGGGUUUCUCUUGCUUCCCGGUCUUUCCACCUCGGCGUGGAGACCUCGUUUUCAAUGUCAGCGCCAACGAGCCGGUCGUUGACGGAGAAACAGACGAGCAGAGGCAGCUCCGUGAGCAGCGCAAUGCUGACCGUGCCCGACGACGCGCGGACGAGGAGCGCCAACUCCUGCCACAUAACCUCACCGACGCUUUCGACAUGGUCGGGGAUCAGCCAGUCUACAAAACUCCAAGCGCCAACGUGGCUGUCGCCAUGGCCAACUUAGAUCGACUCCCUGAUACUCCCGAAUGCCAGGGCGUCCGAUCCAGCGUUCGAGCACACCUGAUCGCCACGAUGGGACAGACAGCCACUCUGCUCAAAAGAGUCCAAGCUAUCUCCUAUACAGAGGUCUCCUCCGACCAGACUCAUCGCAGCCGGACCUCACCACAACCCAGCAGGCACCACCGCAGCCGUUCUCCCAACAAUCAUCGAAAAGAUUCACGGCGUGACGAUGGCGGCCAUCGCGAGCAGAAUCGCGGGCGUGGUCAGGAAGUAAACCAGCACAGGGAUCUUCGAUACAACAUCCCUCCCAAAGACGCCUGGGACCGCAUCAACAGGCGCGCCACGGAGAGAGCAGUCCACGAAAACCUACGUCGUAUUGAGUACGAUGCAACUCACGGCCCCCCGGGCCUGAGACAGUUCUUCUCACACCCCCGCCAGGUCGUGUGGCCCAGAAACUUCAAACUUGAGAAACUCAAAAAAUACGACGGUAAGGAAAACCCAGAAAACUGGAUCACUCUAUACGAGAUCGCCGUCCGGUCAGCAGCAGGAGAUGAGCACGUCAUGGCCAACUACUUCCCAGUCGUCCUCGACCAGGCCGGUCACCAGUGGCUCCUAGGUCUGCCCGAGGACUCUUUCGACUCCUGGGAAGAGUUACGACAAGCAUUCAUCGACAAUUUCAUCGCUACAUGCGAACAGCCGGGGAACAAAUACGACCUCGAAAGAAUAUGGAACAAGAAGAACGAGCCUCUGCACGAUUACAUCCGACGAUUCUCGGAUAUGCGCCUUAAGAUCCUAAAAAUUUCCCAUGACGAGGCCAUAUAUGCUUUCAUCAAGGGGCUGCGCUUCCACGAAGCACUGAGGAACAAGCUACUGCGCAAAAGGCCAACAACGAUGGCCGAGCUUCUUGCCACGGCCAAAAACUACGCCGACGCCGACGACGCAGAAAAACUCAUCCGGGACGAUGCGAGAGGUCCCGACCAGCCCCCUCGACGAGAUGACAGUCGAGGUCGUUUCGACAACAGGAACCAUCGUCGCCCCGACAAUCGGACCACAGAGAAGGCUGGGACAGGCGGCGUGACAACCGCGAUGACUUCAGAGGCAAGCGCCCUCGUGAUCACGACCACGAGGUGAAUAUGGUCAAGCGUCCCAAUGGGCGGCGAGACUACCAGGAAGACUACAACAAGACGUUGAAGGGACCAUGCCAGCUGCAUCCAAAGUCCAACCACACGAUGGAAGAAUGUCGCGUCCUAAAAAGCAUCUACACACGGCGGGCUGCUCAAGACGACACAGCCAAGAAAAAUGGGAAACAGGACGGGCGCGAUCAUGAAGAUGAGGACGAGGACCAGGAUAGGGACCCACGACACCAGUAUGUCAGUCCCACCGACGUGGUCCACUCCAUCUUUAGGGGCAAGGUCUCCACCGAGUCUAAGCGAGAAAGGAAGCUCUUAAAAAGAGCCUGCCUCAAUAUAGACACCACGGAUGGACUAAUCGCUGACCCGAAAUUCCCUCCGUGGUCGCAUAGGGAAAUCUCCUUCAGCAGGAAGGACCAGUGGGCCACCAUCCCAGAACCAGGACGUUUCCCUCUAAUACUGGAUCCUUGCAUCAACACCAUCAGAUUCGAGCGCGUGCUCGUCGACGGGGGAAGCUCCAUUGAUAUCCUUUUUCGCAACAGCUUGCCUGCUCUCAAGUUAACCCCGGCACAGCUAAAGUCCUACGAUGCUCAAUUCUGGGGAGUCUUGCCAGGUCAAAGUUUAGUGCCCCUUGGACAGAUAACACUGCCUGUCCAAUUCGACACGUCCGACCACUUUCGAACAGAUUUCGUCAACUUCGUGGUCGCCGACUUCGACGGAACCUAUCACGCCAUACUGGGCUGACCAUCGCUGACAAAGUUCAUGGCAGUCCCACAUUACUCAUAUCUGGUCCUCAAAAUGCCUACAGAGAAGGGCGUCCUAAUUGUCAGAGGCAAUGUCUACACCGCAUAUACUUGCGAGGAGGAGAGCUUCAAGAUCACUGAAGCAAUUGAUCUUUCAAUUCUCAUGGCAGAAACAGCAACCCAAACCGCACAACUCCAUCCCGACCAGCUCCGACUACCCGAGCAGGAGACCCCCAGGAAGAAUUCAAAAUCCAAGGAGUACAAGGAAGUACAGCUGGUCGAAGGCAGCCCCGAGAAGACGGCCCUCAUCGGGGCCAACCUGGACCCUAAAUAGGAAGACGCGCUCGUCACGUUUCUAAGGGACAACGUGAACGUUUUCGCAUGGAAACCCGCAGACAUGCCCGGCGUCCCACGGAACCUGAUCGAGCACUCCUUAAAUGUCUCGAAGACCGCAAGACCCAUCAAGCAAAAGCUGCGACGGUUUUCUCGUGACAAAAAGGAGGCUAUUAGGACAGAAAUAACACGGCUUCUAGCAGCCGGAUUCAUAAAAGAAGUGUAUCAUCCCGAUUGGCUCGCCAAUCCGGUUCUUGUACGCAAAAAGAAUAAUGAAUGGAGAAUGUGCGUUAAUUACACUGAUCUCAAUAAACACUAUCCUAAAGAUCCUUUUGGUCUCCCUCGCAUUGACGAGGUAGUCGACUCAACAGCCGGAUGCGAACUCCUCUCUUUUCUAGACUGCUACUCUGGUUAUCACCAGAUCUCGCUAAAGGAAGAUGAUCAAAUCAAAACGUCUUUCAUUACUCCUUUCGGCGCAUACUGCUACACGACCAUAUCCUUUGGACUCAAAAACGCCGGAGCCACCUAUCAACGGGCCAUCCAGCAAUGCCUCCAUGACGAGAUUCGUGAUGACCUCAUCGAGGCUUAUGUAGACGACGUCGUCAUCAAAACAAGGGACGCAAGCACCCUAAUCGACAACUUAGACCGAACCUUCAAGGCACUAAACAAGUACAAGUGGAAGCUUAACCCCAAAAAGUGCAUCUUUGGGGUCCCUUCUGGUCUACUGCUCGGCAACGUCGUCAGCCGCGACGGCAUACGACCAAAUUCUUCAAAAGUAAAAGCAGUGCUCGACAUGCGACCACCUAAGAACGUCAAGGAUAUUCAGAAGCUCACCGGAUGUAUGGCCGCCCUCAGCCGCUUCAUCUCAAGACUAGGAGAAAAAGGCCUUCCCUUCUUCAAACUCUUGAAGGCGUCGGAAAAAUUCUCCUCGAUAGAGGAAGCUGACGCUGUGUUCACCCAGCUCAAGACUUUCCUCACCCUACCGCCUGUUCUCACAGUGCCUCAGCCCAAUGAAGACCUACUUCUUUACAUUGCAGCAACCGACAGGGUCGUCUCCACGGCAAUAGUGGUCGAGCGAGACGAGCCAGGCCACGUCUACAAGGUCCAGAGACCCGUUUAUUUCAUAAGCAAAGUCUUAAAUGAGUCCAAGGCCAGAUACCCACAAAUACAGAAGCUCAUAUACGCCAUUUUAAUAACGUCGAGGAAGCUAAAGCACUACUUCGACGGCCAUCGGGUCUUGGUAACCACCAGUUUCCCUCUUGGGGAUAUUCUGCGCAAUAAAGACGCCAACGACAGAAUUGUAAAAUAGGCAAUGGAGUUAUGCCCAUUCUACCUAGAUUUCCAGAGUCGCACCACAGUCAAGUCUCAGGCCCUGGUCGAUUUCAUCGUAGAGUGGACGGAUCUUAACGAGCCUCCCGUUUCCGACGUCUCCGAUCACUGGUCAAUGUUCUUCGACGGGUCCUUGAACAUCAACGGCGCCGGCGCUGGGAUACUUUUCGUGUCGCCUAACAAGGACAAAUUGCGUUACGUCCUUAGGAUCCUUUUUCCGGCAUCAAACAAUGUUGCUGAGUACGAAGCAUGCCUACAUGGCAUACAACUAUCCGUUGAGUUGGGAGUCAAACGCCUCUACGUCCACGGCGACUCCGCUUUAGUUAUCAACCAACUCAACAAGGAAUGGGACGCAACCCACGAGAAGAUGGAUCUCUACUGCAAAGAAAUCCACAAAUGGGAAUCCAACUUCUAUGGCAUAGAGUACAUCCACGUGGUCCGGGACAAGAACCAGGCAGCGGAUGCGCUGUCCAAGUUAGGGUCAUCUCGGGCCCAGAUCCCGCGAGGUGUUUUCGUCUAGGACAUCCAUGAGCCAAGUGUGGGCACAGACCUGGUCGAAAAGCAACCUAUUGAGGCAAUGCUCAUAGAUGACGCUACUCCGACAACCGGCAUCCGAGAUUGGCGCACUCCGUUCAUCAGGUAUAUAUCGGACGGGUCAGGCUUUCAGGAUAAAACGGAGAACGAGCGCCUCAUUCGACGAUCAAAGAAUUACAUACUGGUGGACGACAAACUUAUGCGAAAAAAUGCAAGUUCCGAAGUGCUGCUCAAAUGCAUAUCCCAAGAGGAUGGCAUCAAGCUCCUAGACGACAUACAGGCCGGAUCCUGCGGCAACCACGCAGCCUCCAGAACACUGGUCGGGAAGGCUUUCCGAGCAGGUUUUUACUGGCCAACCGCGGUCACCGACGCAGAAAAACUGGUCCGACAUUGCGAAGGAUGCCAGUUCUUCGCCAAAAGGACCCACGUACCUACUCAUGAGAUUCAAACUAUUCUGUCAUCCUGGCCUUUCGCCUGCUGGGGCCUCGACAUGAUCGGGCCAUUUAAACCGGCUCCCGGCAACUUCAAGUUCGUCUUCGUGUUAAUCGACAAAUUCUCGAAGUGGAUCGAAUACAUGCCACUGGUCAAAGCAACCUCCGAGAAGGCUGUGGAGUUCCUCAAUCAAAUCAUACACAGAUUCGGGAUCCCCAACAGUAUAAUCACCGACCUGGGCACUCAGUUCACUGGCACUACGUUCUGGGACUUCUGCGAUGACAGAGGCAUAGUCGUAAAAUACGUGUCAGUAGCACACCCACGAGCAAACGGUCAAGUCGAACGCGCGAACGGAAUGAUCAUCGAUGCCUUAAAGAAAAGGUUGUACACCGAGAACGACAGAGCGCCUGGUCAAUGGAUGAAAGAAUUACCGGCCGUGGUCUGGGGUCUCCGAACACAGGCCAGUCGCAAUACAGGUGUAUCAUCCUACUUUAUGGUUUAUGGCUCCGAGGCAGUACUUCCAUCAGAUAUAACCUUCAGAUCUCCAAGAGUUGAAAACUUCGACCAAUCAACGGCUGACAACGCCAGGGAGCUCGAAAUCAACUGCAUGGAGGAAAAGCGUCUAAUUUCAUGUCUUCGAACAGCAAAGUAUCUCGAAGCCAUCAGGCGGUACCACAACAGGAACGUCAAAGACCGUUCUUUCAUGGUCGGUGACCUGGUACUCAAGUGGAAAACAAGCCAGGAAGGAACGCACAAGUUAUCCACGCCUUGGGAAGGACCCUUUGUGGUCGCCGAAGUUACACGCCCUACAUCCUACAGACUGGCGUAUCAAGAUGGAACACGCGUGCCUAAUUCUUGGCACAUAGACAAACUGUGCCAUUUUUAUCCAUAAGUUCCAGUACCUUUUGCUUGUAAGUUUCUUAUAAUUAGCAAUAAUAAAAGUUUUUCUUUUUUGCUAUGUAUACACGCAGAGCUUCCGACGAGUACAACAGUCUUCCUCUGCGCCAAAGAUUCUUAACGACUAUCAAUCAAACACAGUGAUACGUCACUCAGAUAACAUUACAGCGCUCAAAUUCAUGGUCAUGACAAAAUUCAAACUUUAUUACAAACUUUACAUACAGAGUUUACAAUAAACACUCCAUCGGGUGGCUACUAGUCUACUCCUACAGACUAUCCUACAGGCCUACUGCUCGGGCUGAUCACCCGCUUGGCCUUGCUGCCCAGACGAAGGGGUCGGGGCCACCGGCGCCUGGCUGGUCGAGACCGCAGGCGUCGACCGCCCAUCUCCAGCAAUAGACGCCCCCGACAACUCCCUGGCCAAUCUGUCAGACCCCGACUGGUCGGGGGGAGUGGCCGUCCCGCACAGGUUAAUGUCGCCGAUCACCGUCGAUGACAAGUCUAGCAGGCCAGCUCGAAGGUCGUCUGCCUCCUGCGGGCCAACUUCCUUGGGGUACCCCCUCUCCCGCCUGGACAGGUCGACCAGGGGAUAGUGGGCGCGCACCAUGCUAAGGACAUGCGCGCCGGCGAACUCCCCGGCGUCCUUGACGAACUGCUGGAGCCAGUCCCACGUCCGUUGCGCUUUCUCGACUGGCGUCAGUUUCGGUGUGCGGGGCUGGUCUUCAGGAAGCUCGGGGCUGAUCAAGUCCAGAACUGGGGCUACUCCUUUCCAAAGCCUAAUGCAGUUAGUCUUCCAGGAGUCCUGAUCCUUGACCAGCUCGUCUAAGUGCUUCUUGGUAUUCACCUUGAGCACUACAAACCAAGCAGGAGGUCAGUUCAAGAACAAGGAAAGAAACGUUGAUCAACCAAAUAAAAAAGGGGUGCCACGCUUAUUACCAGACAGCUCCCGAUUCCUGUGGCUUAGCUCCUCGCGUGCUCGGCGCCCGGCCUCCAGCGCCCCGGCAAGCUAUUGGCCGAGCUGCUCUUUAUCUUGUCGGAGGCGCGCAACCUCUUCCUCCAAUUCUACAAGAACAAUCCCCUGGUCAACAAAACUAACCACGCGGCUAUAUACAACUGCUCGGAGUGCGCGACUGACUUGUCCUCUGCCGAUACUGGUCGGCUAAACGCCGAGUAAGCUCGAGACGGCGCUCUUCCUGAGCACUCAUCUCGGCCACCUUCUCCCCAACUUCUGACCGAAGCCGGUCCACCUCCGCGGACAGGGCCUUGUUCUCGGCCGCAAUCCCCUCGAUUUGGUCGAAGCACCUCUUCCGAUACUUCGCCCUUUUCAUCACGCCCUGCAAGAAGAACAUAUGUCGAACCCAGGAACACAGCAUAUAAGUGUCGAGCAGCACAAAGGACCACUUACCUUAACCUCAUCCACGAGACGCUUGGCCGCGCGCUCCACCCUUGCGGCCUCUUCCGUCUCCGCGAGCUCCUCGUGUCCAAUGAAGUGGUCCCCGUGUUGGCGCCACACGUAGACGUGCUGGCGGCCGUCACGGGGACGAUUCUGGAUCUCCUCCACGUCAUCGUCAGAGGCCGCCCGGGGCUCCUCGUUCGCCGCACUGCCGCCGGCCGCGGUCGCAGGCAUCACUGGCCCAUGGUCCAGGCCAGGGGAGCCUACGGGUGAAGAGGCCUCUGCUCGGGGCGGUGUUGGGACCCCCCUUUCUCCGGCUGGAGGAGUCGGGACUCUGUCUUCCUCCCCCACAACAUUACUCGGGGGAGGGGUUCUCGCUGCCUCUUCAUCCCUCGUCGGGGUGCUCGCCGCGGCACUCGCCGGGGCCGGUUGUUCCUCGGCACUCGUAGCAGCGGUUGUCACCGCAGGCUGCUCCGUGGCUUGCGGCGCGGCGUCUCCAACGGCGGCUACAGGCUCAGUUGUCCUCUGUUCAGCGACCUGGUCGGGGUUGACAUCUGACGCUAUGCUAGACAACGAAACAACAUUUAAACAAUGUCAGAAAUAGCAACAAAAAGCAGAACGUCGCAGUACGAAAGUAAGAUUAAGCACUUACAGGUCAGAUCGCCUGUGUGUUGCGGUGAACCUCCUCCUGGUCCUACCGGAUGGUGCCUGCGCCCCCGUCUCUACGACGCGCGGUGCAGGAGGGUCGCUGGUCACCCGAUCAGUAGUGGCGGGCGCUAUGUCUGGACGAUUGCGCGGCCUCCGGACCAGGGAAGGCGCGGCCUCCUCCUCCUCCUCGUCGUCGUCGGUGAUCCGGACGAGUCGACGGCACUUUGGCGCCUGACUGCUCUCCGCCGGCAGCGCUUCCGCAGGGGAGGGGUCUGCUGCUAGCGGCCUUUUCCCCACCACUCUGUCUUCGGUGGUCGGGGCGGGAUGGUUCUACUCCUCCUCACUGCUGGUGUACCGAGCACACCGAGCAGCGUCCUCUUCCGACGGGUCUACCCCCCCGGGGUUCUCCAUGCCGGGCGCCAGUGAUACGAAUACCGCGCACCGGUCAACGUCUCCAAUCUACAGCAAAAAUAAAAGACAAAUCAACAACGAUGGCGAACUAGUACUCGAAAAGCAAAAUCAGUUCGCAACAUUACCUUGGGAGCUGGUCGCCCCAGCUUGAAGGCCUGCGCCCGAUCACUACUGCGAACGAAGCUGCCGUCCGCAAAGUUGAACAGCUGGUUUAGCAGCUGUUGCACUUCCGCCUUCUCCAGGACCUCAGGGCUCAUCCUGGUCGGGUCCUGGCUUCCAGCAUACUCGUAUGCCGAGUGGACCCUCUUCUGGUAGGGCAUCACUCGACGACAGAUGAAGUUGCCGACCACCCCUAGUCCGUCUAAACGCGACCAGUCGAUCAGCUUCAUCAGGUCUUCUACCUGGCCGGUGAACUCUGGGCGGUCUGUCCAACUGACCCUCUUCUCGGGAAUGUACCCCACGUCGCAGAACGUGGAGCUGCCCGGCUCCUCCCUGACGUAGAACCACUUCUUGUACCAUUCGGUGAGAGAAGUGUUCCACGGGCAGCUGAGAUACCGAUUCUUCAUCCCGUCGCGAAGAUUGAGGUAUACUCCACCUGCAAUCUUGGAGCCUCCAACCGCUCCCUUCUUCCUCAAACAGAAAAGGUAGCGGAAAAGAUCGAAGUGCGGCUCUAUCCCAACAUAGGCCUCGCACAGAUGGAUAAAAGUGGAAAUAAGAAGAAUCGAGUUCGGGUGCAGAUUGCAGAUCCCGAUCUCAUAGUAAAGAAGAAGCCCCUGAAGAAAAGGAUGGACGGGAACCCCAAAACCCCUCUUGAAAAAAUCUUCGAAAACCACUAUCUCACCGGCACGGGGGUCGGGGUAGCUCUCCCCAUCUGGUGCCCUCCAGCCGCCGAGCUCUUGGCUGUGCAGUAGCCCCAUGCCGACGAGGUCGUUGAGGGACCUCACGCUGCUCCGGGACUUUUUCCACUCCUUGGCCAUCAGUUCGGCCCUCUUCUUGGAGUCGCUCUUCGCCAUUGACGCUGUGGAAAUGGAUGCGAGCUGGGCGGACUGAUGGAGGUUGCGGAAGGCAAGAGUGGAAAGCUUGAAGGCAAUGGCAGGGUAAGCAAUACGGAGGGCGAGGUCAAGCUUUUAUAACCAACAACUCCAUCCCUCCCACUUCCCGCAUUCUUGGGAAAUGGGAGGACCCAACAGUGGAUGCGGCGUUUCGGUUUUCAAUAAUUACCGGCAGUUAAUACGGCGGCCUUUUUUGCUUAAUUAAUGUUUUCCUUAUCUUGAACCGCGCAAAGAGCGGCUGUACAGUUACCGGGCGCAACUUUUCAUGCAGCCAUCUGACAGUGCGCCAGGAGGUCUCGUCACAUCACCCAUUUCCGUGAUAAGAUUCCUUUUUCAAAAUAACAGACACAAAUUGGUGGAUGACCAACGCCCCUAGGGACUGCACCGACCACCGAGCACCGUACGCUCGAGGACUGGUCGACCAGUCUGCCAGUUUGGAGAUCUGGGGACUGCACCGACCACCGAGUACCGUAUGCUCGGGGACUGGUCGACCAGUCUGCCAGUUUGGAGAUCUAGGGACUGCACCGACCACCGAGUACCAUAUGCUCGGGGACUGGUCGACCAGUCUGCCAGUUUGGAGAUCUGGGGACUGCACCGACCACCGAGUACCGUAUGCUCGGGGACUGGUCGACCAGUCUGCCAGUUUGGAGAUCUGGGGACUGCACUGACCAGCUAGCACCGUAUGCUCGGAGACUGGUCGACCAGUCUGCCAGUUUAGAAAUCUAGGUAUGCAUCAAUUACCAAGCACUACACGCUCGGGGACUGGAUAAUUUUAAUUUUUUAGACCUUGCUACAAGGCUCAUACUUCACCUUCCAGCAAGCUCGGGGACUACAUCGGUACGAUGCAUCUGGCGAUGCAUCUCAGUUUCAGAAUUUCUUUGAGGAUUUUUCUUUUGACCCUGGCACCACGUGCCUACGUCACCUACUACUAGGCUCGGGGACUAAGUGGGCACACUUCACCUUGCGGUGAAUACGCUUGCUUUUUGAAAGGCUAUACUUUUCAGAAAAGUAAAGUGGACACACUUCACCUGGAAAGAAAUCUUUUUUAAUUUAGAGCACCAUGCAUUCUUUGAACAACCUGCUUCUUCGAUGUCAAUGUUGAUCAACUGUCUUUUGAGUUGGUCAAAAUACCGUUGCAACUGUUUGGGCGACUUUCCUACUUAUUGAAGACGUCAAGCCUCACUGAUCGAAGAAGCUCAAGACGGCGUGUUACAUCACAAUACAUGGUGCUCGGGGACUAGCUGUGGGGGUAUAAACCCCUAUACCCUUACGGCUAGACUUGGGCCAGGAGGCUUGGUCCAUUACGAGAUGAGUUCGAGGCUUGAUCCGACUGCUUGGAGUUUCGCGUAAGGAAACAAGACGUGGAGAUCAAGCAGGAUUCUAGUCGGUUAGAAUAGGAAUUGAUAUUGAGCUAUCUAUGGCAAUUGUAACCGACUAGGAUUAGUUUCCAGAUCUGUAACCCUGCCCUUCGGACUAUAUAAGGAGGGGCAAGGGACCCCCUUAAGACAUAUUAUUCUCAAUCCAAUACAAUCAGACGCAGGACGUAGGUAUUACGCCCACACGACAGCCGAACUUGGAUAAAAAGCUUGUCCGUGUCUUGCGUCACCAUUGAGUUCGUAGUUUGCGCACCGUCUACCGAUAAACUACUACCGUCGGUAUACCUCAAGGUAGACUGCCGACUAGCUUUCGUCGACACUCAUCAAUUCUCUCAAGUCAACCAAAGUCAACAGAGAGUCAACCAUGGUCAACUUGAAGUUAACAUCGUAAGAAUACUCUCCAAAAGAUGCUAACCAACAACCCUAUCUCUAGGACAUGAAGAUUGGCCUCAAUACCAAAAAAAAACUCUCUUUAUCUAAAUCAUUUGGUAAAAAUAAGUGAUUUUACAGAGUGUCCAAUAAGAUUGACGGACUAUCCGACAAAUCUCUUAUUCAGCUGGUUGAGUGGAGAAUGAGCUGCCCUCAACUCAUCCAAGUGACCCCAUGUGUCAGCGUGCACCGGCAUAUGUAACAUCAAAAUACUUUUAUUGAAUCACUAGGAAAUAUGUCGUAGAUAUAAAUAUAUUUUUCUAUAAACUUGAUUAAAGUUAUAGAAUAUUGAUUUGGGAUAAAACAAAAAUGAUCUAUAUUUUAGAACGGAGAGAAUGGAUAUAGCUUGAAGUGGUGGGUUACAAUCUGUGCAUGCAAAGAAGAGCACAUGCGGUGCACCUACCCACAAAACUUUCAAAGAAAAAUUUGAGUAGUGGUGCUUGCAAGCAAGGGAACGAUUGAGAAGCAGAGAAUAUGAACUGUACACUGCUGCAACCCAAUCAACAGCAAUAUCUGAUAAAAAUAUGAUAUAGAUCCAAAGCGGCCGAAAGGCUAAACAUCGAGGGCCAUUCCAUCUCCAUUGCCAAAACAAUUCCUUCCUUCCUUUCGCUCUUAGGAAUCCAAUCAACUCGAUCAAUCAAGCUCAAAGUUCUAUCAUCAUCACACAAGCUCCGCAUUGCUUUUUAUUUCAUUUUCUAUGGUCUAUAGAGGUAGCGUCGUAGCUAGGUACUUAGGAAGAGAACGAGAAGAGAUUAGUGAUGCCUUACUUUGACAAAUGAGUAGAUAGAUAGACAAGCUACAAGUGAGCAUCGAACAAGACUACAAGAGUAUACAAUACCUUGGGCGAUGGAGGUUUCAACUUCCAAAUUAAGCAUGUGAAACACGAUCCCAACUGUAGAAAUUGCGACUUGUUUCAUGACAAAUGGGUAUCUACUAGCUAGGAGAAAGCUACAUUUUGAUUCACUCGAGUGCUUUAAAAUUUCAGUCUAAUUUGAAACGGAAUCUAAUUAUAGCUAGGCUCCUAAGUCUAGGUUCAUUUUUUUAAUAAAGGAUAGAUAUAGUCUAUCUGGCUUCAUUCACCCAAGCCGGAUGAACUCAAGCGAAAUUAUUAUAAGAUCUUACAAAGUGUUACAUCGAAAGCCAAAGACUAACACGACCAGGGUCGUAAGUAAACAAAGAAAUACCUAGUAACUGCAAAAAGUCCAACACACGAAGAUCAAUGUAAAGCAAUCCUAAAAACAGACGACCACACAAAGGAUGAAAACAUCCGGAGACAUGAAGUUUCAAGAGCCCGACAAGCGUCGACUAACUGUUGUUGACGGUCUUCAAGAUGCUGUAACAUUGUCGGUCCAGUAUGUCUCUCUGAAUAGCACCUACAAAAAAUAUUUAGGUCUACAUUUGUCAAAAAAAAUUAUUUCUUGAUAUCCACAGUGACCAACAUAAUGUAGCGGUGGCAGUCAAUAAGUUUAUAUUGUGAUUAGUUCCCCCUCCUUUUGACCAAUGAAUAAAAAGAUCAUUAGCAUCCGUGGGUUGGGCAAUGCCCAGAACCAUGUGUACUGCUGUCUACAGAAACUUAGCAUAGGCACAAUUAAUAAACAAGUGUUGGAUUGAUUGGAGUACUACAGAAAGAACAACCUGUAUCUGUAUGUCCCCUCUAAUUUCUUUUUGCUAAGCUGUCCUUUGUUAAAAUAACCCCUUUUUUAAGUACCACAUAAAGAUUUUUAUUUUCAUGGGUAACUUGGCGCGCUAAAUUUCCUGUGAGACAUGCACACCAUUAUUGACUAAAUACGCAUACAUUGAUCGAACUGUAAAUAACCCAUUCGAGUUUAGAGACCAAACAAAGACGUCAUUUUCUUCUUGUAACUGCAAAGUUGCUACUGUUCCAAUCCCUCAAAAGUUAUUUCCCACUAAUGUCCUUCGAAAAGAAACAUUAAGUGGAAUAGACGACAACACAUUUGACAUAGUGUCGUGUUUUCUAUGCACUAUGUUGAACAACCUUAGAAUUUUAGUUCGGAGAGAAUAACUCUCAAUCCAAAUAUCUUCCCACAUAACCUCGUUUGUUUUCUCUAGGUUGAUGGCGUCGGUUGUGUAAAUGCAUGCAUGUGUUUCACAUUCUUGAAAAAAAAGAAAGCUACAGCUGAUCUAUCCAAAUUAACUUGACGGUGAAGACACAGAAGAGUAUCGCCACCGCCACCCCCUUUUUCUCUCACCGUCGCCCCGUCUAGGCCCCCUUCUUCCAUCCGGGUUUAUUUGGAUUAAUAGGAUUAGCUGUUGGAUGAAGCUAAAAAGUACUUCAAAUUAUUUAGUGUUAGGGAGUAAUUGGCAACAACCUAGUUAAAAAAUUUCUUAAAAAAAUUAGCCUAUCUGUUAGCUCCCUGUUAUAGAUGGACUAAGACUUAAAAUUACCGCCUCCAUCCUGAAUUAUAGUGUAUUUUCAUUUGUUCUAAGUCAACCCACCUUAUGGUUGACUAAAAUUAUAGAAAAAAAUUAACCUCUACCACAUAAAAAAGGUAAGUUAUAAAAAUACAUUCCAUCAUGUUCUUAAUGGAGCUUAUACGAUGUCAAAAAUAUUAUUAUUUUUAAAAGACGGUCAAACUUAAGAUGAGUUAACUUAGAGCAAAUAAAAAUACAUUAUAUUAUUGUAGGAAGAAAAUUAAUAUGUCUUUCUAUAAUUUUAGUCAAGCAUGAGAUGGGUUAACUUAGAACAUAUGAAAAUAUGUUGUAUUUUAGAACGGAUGGAAUAACAGUUAACCUUCUAUAUCCAAUUAGACCCAUAGAGUUAGUUGUAUUCAAGGAAGAAAAGCCCCCCCCCCCCCCCCCCCCGACUUCAUCAAGAGAUUGACUCUCCAUGAUAAAUAUGAACCCGAAUUGUAAAGUGGUACUAGUGCAACCCGCGCGCCAUCGCGCGGCGGUGUUAGUAAAGCACACUUGAGUUUAUAUGCAUGUCUCGUAUGUUACAUAUGUUGCUGAUGUGUAUAGUAAGUCUAUGAUGAUGGGAGGUAUACGUAGAGUUAGUAGCUGGCAAAGGGUGUGCAUAAACACAUGUUAACCUAUGGGUUGUAACAUAACGGAUAAUAGUAUAGAUAGUAUAUAUGGCACAAAUUUAUGGACUGGUACAUGGUAGAGAGCAUUGCAUAAAUAUAUAUUACAUAUGUUCUAGUAUUUUUUUGUGAAAAUGCUGCACAUAGAUAAUUCAUGUGAGCAAACAGGUUACUCUGCAACAAAUAUUUCUAGAUAACAACCGAAGGGAAAUCAAGCUGUCAAAGAUGCCAAUCACUGCAUACCAAAUUCAUCGAUGGGGGCAUCAAAGUUAUAGGUGGCUGCAAUGAAGGGACUACCGGCUUGGCGCACGAAGGUUCUCCCUACAUGGAACUGCAUCAGAUUCAGAACAUGCAAUGUGGUCACAACAACAACAAAAAGUAGCAGACUGCAACGGGAAUAAUGGUCUGGCCCACAUGGGUUACUUAGUUUUCUUACCAUGUCCUUGACAACCUUAAGGAGUACACGGGGCCUAGAUUAAAAAUGGUCCAAACAUCUAUAUAAAAGGAGGAUAUGUCAUCUUAAUAACAUAUAGGUGGUUGUUGUUUCUAUACGAACCACAUACAAUUUUAGUAUUCUAGAAACCAGAGUGCAACCAGAUGAAUGUUGACAUGGAGGCACAUGUAUUGUUUCCUGAACAAUACAAGCACAAAGAACAUAAGAUAAAUAUAUAUUUUUGGCCUCAAACCAGGAAAUGGACAAACAUCUACAUGACUAAAAUAGACAACACACUAACAAUCAACAUUAGGUACCACGUAGCUUAAAACUGCAUGUUAUAUAAGCUGUUUGUGUGAUAAACCUACAGAGAAGCAAAUAAUACUUUUGAAAUAAAUGCAUCAAUUCACAAGAUGAAUCAAUGAUACAAUCUUAACUAAUUGCAAGAUGAGAAGUCACUACCGUGAAAACUAUGUAUGAAAGGAAAGUGCUAUAAUAUUCUUAAAUUAUGGAUGACAAAAGAGUAGUCAUCAAACUGUGUAACUGUUGUUGCUAGGUAAGCAGACAGGCAAAUUAAACCUGCAAAUAUAUGAACAUGCAUGACCCACACAUGGUUGUACAUGUUCCUUCAACUUGGAGCCAAUUAUAGACACUAUGGUAUGGAAAAAAUAACAUAACUUAAACUCUGAAAGACUGUAGGCGUAGGCAUACACUCUAUUAUGUAUGAGUGACCACAAGGCUGCCUGCCAGAAAUGUGUAAGGUGUGAAGAAGCAUCGUAAAUAGAUCACAGUAAUGUUGACAUCAAUUACCAAUUGUGCAUGAAGAAAAUUAUAACAAUGAAAGCCAAACUGAUGUCUAUGGCAAGCGAAUAGCCAUAGUGUCAUUGAGCAAUGGGCAUGAAAUUUUCAUCAUAGGCUAAACAAAGGGAAAAUAAUAGAUGGUAAACACUGACAACAUCAGAUCAUAACCAAUGAGAAAUGCAUCAUAUGAUUUGGCAAACGCCAAGAACAGCCUUUCGAAACCAAAGAGGCUUUCAACAUAAUUUUAGUGAUCCAAAACACACCGACACCAUCAACAUACAAUGGGCAUGUGUUUUAGAUAGCAAACAGUGGGCAUGUUUUUAGAGGGAAAAACCUAAUAAAAAACAAUUAGAGCUUUUUGAAGGCCUUAGUAAAUUGCCAACCAUCAUUUGUUUAUGAACUUGGAGCUUAAAGAUAUGUUCAGAAAUGGUUACUUUUAGAAAUUUCAUAAUAUAAGUAACAGGUCAUGCCUAGUACUCACAAGCGAAUGAACAUCAUAUCGUAUCAGUGAGCAAUGGAUAUGGACUUUGCAUCAUAUGCUAAAUAAGAGGGGGGUGAAAAUGGCAAAUGCUGACAACAUCAGAUAAAAAUAAAUGAGCAAUGUAUCACAUGAAUCCACAAAUGGCUACAAACAACCAUUUAUAAGCAAAGAGGCUUCUAGCAUAAUUUCAGCGAUCCACAGCACACCAACACCACAUAUAAUGGGCAUGGGUUUCAAAUAGUAAACAGUGGCAUGGUUUUAGAGAAAAACAUUUUUGUCAUAAAACAUGAAUUAGACUCACCGGGGAGGCACUGUGCCGCACACACGAGGGGAGCCUGUAAUACCCGAUUUUAAGGACAAAACCAGAUAUACACCAUAUGUGAGUUUUAAAAGCCAAAUCUCACAUAUAGCUACAAAAUAAGGGGUAAUAUCAAAAGACAAUGCAUAAAUUAUAUAACGAACGUAGUAUAAAAGAUAUAACCUUUGAUAGCAAACAGCGGAUAGACAACAUCAAACUUCGGGUAUUAACUUCUCUCCACAGGAUCCAACUGACUGGUUGAGCACAAGCCUAACAUCUCCUGAAGUGUGGGGGAAAUUGCAAGAGUGAGCACAUAUCGUACUCAACAAGUAUAACCAGGGGUUCAUGAGGCUCAAAUGGCUGACACUGGUUUAACUGCAUUUAGCUUUUAAUAGUAGAUAACAUAUUUAAUCAUUGGAUAGCAAUAUCAAGGUAGCAUACUAAAUCCCAUAACCACAUGAUCAAUGUGUACAAGAAUUAAGAAUAACACAUAUAAACAACAUAAUAAACCAUCAUUUAUCAUCAUUAGUCAUGUUCAUCAGAGUCCGCCUAUUCCGUCAGUUUUCCGGGCCGCCCGUAUCCGUGGGCACGGCUAGUAUACCAGAUUUAACACUCUGCAGAGGUUGUACAUCUUUACCCAUGAGUCGUGAUUUACCCUUUCGCCCGAGGUCAUGAGUCUCUUAACCCCCUUCCUAGGGAGGUCGGCAGGGAUCACUAUGAAGCCUUUCAAAGAUUUCGUCUAACAAGUUAGGGCCAUUAGAUUCACUCGGCAGGCAGAUAUAGAGCCCCCCUUCCAUGGCACAUAACUCGCAGCCUAUACACAUGGACAGAGGCCACACUAUACCCAACGUGUCUAGCCAUUCUUACGCCAUUUAAGGUAACCGCUAACAAGCUAGAAAAAGGUCCUCAUACUGAGCUAAAACCAGAGCCAUGUAGCCCUCAUGGUUGUACGAGUUGUCCCAACUUUUGCCAAGGGAUAAGUCCUUACGGAGGGUCAAGAUCAAUCUAGCAAAAGCUAGAGUUCUUUCCACCCUUUAUGUUCAAGUUGCUGAAAAGCUUAUUUUAUUGUUUAUUGCAUAUUCAAUAUUCAUGUUACAAGAUCAUGGAUUAAUAAUCAAGCACUAGCAAGAACUACCCAAAUGCAUAUCCAAAUAGGUAACAAGGAAUUCAGGAUAACAAUCAUCUAUGAUUUUGCUAAGGUUAUCAAGGUGAAAGCAUGCAUAUGAUAUAUAACGUAUUAAUUGUGUAUAGGUAACAAGGAUGAUCCCAAGUUAUACUUGCCUUGCUCAAAGCUCUCCUGAGCCUGCUGGUCUUUAAAAGCUUGGUCUUGAUCAACAACGCACGGCUCACCGUCUAUUCCCAAACAUCAAUCAACAGCACGCAAACAAUCGGAGACAAACAUACACGAAGCAAACAAGCUAUAAUUAGAACAAUACACCAAACAGUAGUAAAACAAAUAUAAAAGUUUAUCAAAAUAUUCUAUGCAGCGCUACGAUCACACAAACGUAAAGUUCACGAAAAUCGGAAUUAAAACGUGAAAGAUAUGAAUUUUCUAAGAUUUCCUAUAGAUAAUUAAUUAAUUAAAUAGGACCACGAAAUUAAAAAGUUUCAAACUGAGUAAACAAUUUUACUAACAUGUAGAGCUCAUUAAUAUGAAUUCAACGCAAUUUGAAUGGACAAAAACGGAAUUAAGAUGAAUAUUUUAUGAGCUAGAUAAAAUCAGUGGCAGUUUUGUAAAUACAAGAAAACGUAUUCUCGGAGUCAAUCUGGUUGUUUUCCGUUUUCUAAAAGAGAAAGCGUAUUUUUGAAAUCCGCUUUGGACUGCGGGUUUAUUCUUAAAAAGAGCAGGGGUUCUUUAGCAAGAGUUACACCGAACCGUUACCUUCUAAUCUCGUUCGCUGGUGCUUGAUCGGACGGUCCGCAGCGUCCCAAGGAGGUCACGGCAGGGGUCGGCCGCCGGGUGGAGCUCCAGCGCGGCGGCGCCAUUGGAGGCUCGCCGGAGUUCUCGGUUUGAGCGAUUCCGGCCACUAGAACGCAAAAAGAAUACACCGGGCGGAGGAGAAUCUCGUGCCGAACUCAUCUAGGGCCUAAUCUGGAGCCGAGGGAGAGCGAAGAGGGCUUGCCGCGGUCGAGAACAAGGUCGGCCUCGCCGAGAUCCAACUCAAGAGAACACGGCGACCUAGGGCUUGGUUUCGCAACAUGGAUGCAAAGGGGUGUUGCGGGGUGGAUUUGGGAGUUUUAUAGGGCUCGGUUCACCGUGGAUGGCAAGGAAUCCCGUGCGUAUCGGGUUUUGACACCCGGUCGAGAGUCCAGCACGACUCCGACUUGGGGUUGAAGAAGGCUGGCUGUCGGGUGGGGUCCACUGGUUAGAGAAAGAGAGGAGAGGGCGCGGGGUAGGCCAGGAGCUGGGCCGGUUGCGCGUACUGGGCCAAAGAGGGGAGCGGGCCGCGGGGGAGGGGAAGCAGGCCAGAGGGAAAAGGGAAGCGGGCCUCGGCCAGACCCAGGGAGCUGUCUCCUUUUUUUUCUUUUUAUUUUCUUUUGUUUCAAGGCCAUUUCAAAAACAAGUUUGAAAAAUCAUUUUAAAAUCAGUUUAACUUACCUUUAAUCAAAUCCACACAAUACAAUGAAAAUAAUGCUCCAAUAUGAAUGCACAACAAGUUGCUACACCCUAUGAUAAAUUUUAAUUAAAUGAAAAAUAUUAUUUUCCUAUGUUUCAUAAGCUCAAAAAUUCAUAAUUAAAUCAUUUUCACCUAUUUCAAAAAGGAGUCAAUUUUAGGGUGUUACAAUUCUACCCCCCUUAAAAUGAAUCUCGUCCUCGAGAUUCGAAAGAGACACGGAUUCCAACAGAGAAACAGAAAAAGAUACUGAUAACUAUUUCAACUUCACAACUGGCAUUCCAAAUGCAAACACUUGUGUCUCGGGAUCACAACUUGUGAACAAAAUUUCCAUAAAACGUCUAUUAUUCGUAAUUGAUCAAGGUCCAUCUUGACUACCAACUUUUCACUCAUACAACUCAAAGACGUGAUAACUUAGCAUGGAUAUGCCUCCUCAGGUAGGAGCGGACCACCUUGAUACUCAAUUCUUUUCCCUGAUGGUGCGGUUUAAAAAAAAAUCCACUGGGUAGCACAGAUCACUCCUUUGUUUGCACAUAACCAUAAGAUAUCUCAGAAGACAGUUAUCACUUCAUGAUAGUUUAAAAUGCAUCUUCCAGUGGUACAAAAAGUACUACCCCCCUUAAGACGAGGUUGGUUGGGGGACAUUAGGGAUUAAUUCUCCUAUCCUUUUUAGACGCUACACAUCAUAGUCUUUUAAAUUCCUUGUAUCAAGUCUCUUAAUCCAAGGUUGGUUUCAAUACUAAGUUCCAUCUAUUGGUACCUUUAUCACAGUUAAGUUGUUUCACUCUGGCAUCCCAAUUAUAACUUCGUAAACUUUGGUGUCAUCUGAUCCUCACAACUCUCAAUCCAUGAGUAUCAGCCAUGACAUAAACCUCCAUUGGUAUUAGCACACUCCAAGUGGAAUGAUAUCUUGAAACAAACCAACAUACCAAGCUCUUGAUGUCCUUGUAGAUGUUCCAGUUAUUAACCACUUCUUCUCCUUGUAGUUCUUUAAUUGGGCUACCCCCCUUAAGAAAAGUCAACUAGGGGACCAAGAAAGGUAGCUUGCAUACUUUCCAGACAAGUUAACAUUGAGAACUUCUAACAUCCUAAAGAACUUAUGUGCAGUGGAGCAAACAGGUAUCCUGAAAUUUCCUCGCGAUAUGAAAAAUACCAGCGUAGUAAAACAGGUAUAACUCUUAUUCCGUUAAUCCAAUAGAGUUGCAGAUUAUAUCGUUAGAAAACUUAUGAAAUUCCCUACAACUUUCAUGUAGAAGUCCUCCUUAGGUUCUGUCUUUAAGCAUAGGUAAUAACCAAACAUAAUAUCCUUCCUGAUAAUGUCUCAGCCAAGGUGCAGUAACUUCCAGAAAUUAUAUCUAGAGCUCCUUAAAUCAUCUGCAGAUGAUCCUUAUAUUGUUUAAAAGCUUAUGAAAUCCUCUACAACUUUCGUAUACAACUCUUUCCCAGCUUCUGACUUCAAGUUGGCCGAAAAUGGGGAAUACCAAAACUGCCCAGACUUUGAUACAGAACAGAAACAUCCAAUUGCAUCUGUCAUAUCUCAGGUUCUACUUAUCCAAAUAAGUUCUAGCUUACACCGUUGGAAAGCUUAGAAAAUUGUCUACAACUCUUCUAUAGAACACUUUUCCAAAUUCUACAGUUAUAUUUGUCUAGAACAGUAGGCAACCGAACUGAUCCAGAUUCCUGACAGCACAUAUGUAUCAUCUUGUGAUUUUUGUAACUUCCAAACCAUAAUAGAUAUGAGGGUGAUCCUUGCGGUCAGAGAAAUAUCUUGAAGUCUAGUUGUUCCCAGAAAAAUUUGAUAAACUUUGCACGAUCAGAUCUUGAGAUACACCAGAAUCAUUGCAGUCUGCUUCAGAAAACAGCAAAGGAUAGAAACAGGAUAUAACCAAACCCAACUACUUAUUUCACUACUCCUUAUGCCUUAGGCCUAUAAACUAAAUGAUAUCGUGGAGAAAACCCACAAGAUCAUUGCACUCAUUACAAAGAUCCAAAUCAAUCAUAAGCAUAAUAACAAACCAAACCAAGCAUCAAAGGUUCACACUUCAAGCAUUAACUCAACUUGCGGUACUAUCGUUCUCUUCCUAUUAAGGGCAAAGAUCCUAAAACUUAUAUUUCAAGGACACAAGAAGGUGGUAAGAAAAGGUUCUAAUAGCAUACCAAAUCAAGGAGUGAAGGUGAGAGCAAGUACUCUUAAAAUAAGCAACAAGGUAGAGAAAUAGCAAGGAUAAGGAUAUAGUAUGGAUGAAAAUAUCAAGGUUUAUAGAGCAAGGAUUUUAUGACAAUUCCAAAACCUUAAGAUGACCAAUUUCUAACUAGGCUUGCGUCCUACAGUCAGCAUUGCUUUGAUACCACUUUGUCACACCCAUAUUUUAAGGACAAAACCAGAUAUACACCAUAUGUGAGUUUUAAAAGCCAAAUCUCACAUAUAGCUACAAAAUAAGGGGUAAUAUCAAAAGACAAUGCAUAAAUUAUAUAACGAACGUAGUAUAAAAGAUAUAACCUUUGAUAGCAAACAGCGGAUAGACAACAUCAAACUUCGGGUAUUAACUUCUCUCCACAGGAUCCAACUGACUGGUUGAGCACAAGCCUAACAUCUCCUGAAGUGUGGGGGAAAUUGCAAGAGUGAGCACAUAUCGUACUCAACAAGUAUAACCAGGGGUUCAUGAGGCUCAAAUGGCUGACACUGGUUUAACUGCAUUUAGCUUUUAAUAGUAGAUAACAUAUUUAAUCAUUGGAUAGCAAUAUCAAGGUAGCAUACUAAAUCCCAUAACCACAUGAUCAAUGUGUACAAGAAUUAAGAAUAACACAUAUAAACAACAUAAUAAACCAUCAUUUAUCAUCAUUAGUCAUGUUCAUCAGAGUCCGCCUAUUCCGUCAGUUUUCCGGGCCGCCCGUAUCCGUGGGCACGGCUAGUAUACCAGAUUUAACACUCUGCAGAGGUUGUACAUCUUUACCCAUGAGUCGUGAUUUACCCUUUCGCCCGAGGUCAUGAGUCUCUUAACCCCCUUCCUAGGGAGGUCGGCAGGGAUCACUAUGAAGCCUUUCAAAGAUUUCGUCUAACAAGUUAGGGCCAUUAGAUUCACUCGGCAGGCAGAUAUAGAGCCCCCCUUCCAUGGCACAUAACUCGCAGCCUAUACACAUGGACAGAGGCCACACUAUACCCAACGUGUCUAGCCAUUCUUACGCCAUUUAAGGUAACCGCUAACAAGCUAGAAAAAGGUCCUCAUACUGAGCUAAAACCAGAGCCAUGUAGCCCUCAUGGUUGUACGAGUUGUCCCAGCUUUUGCCAAGGGAUAAGUCCUUACGGAGGGUCAAGAUCAAUCUAGCAAAAGCUAGAGUUCUUUCCACCCUUUAUGUUCAAGUUGCUGAAAAGCUUAUUUUAUUGUUUAUUGCAUAUUCAAUAUUCAUGUUACAAGAUCAUGGAUUAAUAAUCAAGCACUAGCAAGAACUACCCAAAUGCAUAUCCAAAUAGGUAACAAGGAAUUCAGGAUAACAAUCAUCUAUGAUUUUGCUAAGGUUAUCAAGGUGAAAACAUGCAUAUGAUAUAUAACGUAUUAAUUGUGUAUAGGUAACAAGGAUGAUCCCAAGUUAUACUUGCCUUGCUCAAAGCUCUCCUGAGCCUGCUGGUCUUUAAAAGCUUGGUCUUGAUCAACAACGCACGGCUCACCGUCUAUUCCCAAACAUCAAUCAACAGCACGCAAACAAUCGGAGACAAACAUACACGAAGCAAACAAGCUAUAAUUAGAACAAUACACCAAACAGUAGUAAAACAAAUAUAAAAGUUUAUCAAAAUAUUCUAUGCAGCGCUACGAUCACACAAACGUAAAGUUCACGAAAAUCGAAAUUAAAACAUGAAAGAUAUGAAUUUUCUAAGAUUUCCUAUAGAUAAUUAAUUAAUUAAAUAGGACCACGAAAUUAAAAAGUUUCAAACUGAGUAAACAAUUUUACUAACAUGUAGAGCUCAUUAAUAUGAAUUCAACGCAAUUUGAAUGGACAAAAACGAAAUUAAGAUGAAUAUUUUAUGAGCUAGAUAAAAUCAGUGGCAGUUUUGUAAAUACAAGAAAACGUAUUCUCGGAGUCAAUCUGGUUGUUUUCCGUUUUCUAAAAGAGAAAGCGUAUUUUUGAAAUCCGCUUUGGACUGCGGGUUUAUUCUUAAAAAGAGCAGGGGUUCUUUAGCAAGAGUUACACCGAACCGUUACCUUCUAAUCUCGUUCGCUGGUGCUUGAUCGGACGGUCCGCAGCGUCCCAAGGAGGUCACGGCAGGGGUCGGCCGCCGGGUGGAGCUCCAGCGCGGCGGCGCCAUUGGAGGCUCGCCGGAGUUCUCGGUUUGAGCGAUUCCGGCCACUAGAACGCAAAAAGAAUACACCGGGCGGAGGAGAAUCUCGUGCCGAACUCAUCUAGGGCCUAAUCUGGAGCCGAGGGAGAGCGAAGAGGGCUUGCCGCGGUCGAGAACAAGGUCGGCCUCGCCGAGAUCCAACUCAAGAGAACACGGCGACCUAGGGCUUGGUUUCGCAACAUGGAUGCAAAGGGGUGUUGCGGGGUGGAUUUGGGAGUUUUAUAGGGCUCGGUUCACCGUGGAUGGCAAGGAAUCCCGUGCGUAUCGGGUUUUGACACCCGGUCGAGAGUCCAGCACGACUCCGACUUGGGGUUGAAGAAGGCUGGCUGUCGGGUGGGGUCCACUGGUCAGAGAAAGAGAGAAGGAGAGGGCGCGGGGUAGGCCAGGAGCUGGGCCGGUUGCGCGUACUGGGCCAAAGAGGGGAGCGGGCCGCGGGGGAGGGGAAGCAGGCCAGAGGGAAAAGGGAAGCGGGCCUCGGCCAGACCCAGGGAGCUGUCUCCUUUUUUUUUCUUUUUAUUUUCUUUUGUUUCAAGGCCAUUUCAAAAACAAGUUUGAAAAAUCAUUUUAAAAUCAGUUUAACUUACCUUUAAUCAAAUCCACACAAUACAAUGAAAAUAAUGCUCCAAUAUGAAUGCACAACAAGUUGCUACACCCUAUGAUAAAUUUUAAUUAAAUGAAAAAUAUUAUUUUCCUAUGUUUCAUAAGCUCAAAAAUUCAUAAUUAAAUCAUUUUCACCUAUUUCAAAAAGGAGUCAAUUUUAGGGUGUUACAGAGCCUCUGGCUCGGCAACGUACGAUUCAAGGACCAGCCAUAUCAGGUGGCUCAGGGGUAGGCACGCCCACAGACACCUUGGAGCUUGCACACGUCUAACGGCAGUGGCCAAUCGCGCCGCCAUGCCGCAUACUGGGGGUGCUGCCAGCACAGGCGCCCGCAGCGUGGGCACAAGCGGUGCAGGGGAGGAGAAGCGUCGAAAAGGAGAAGAAGCUGGGUAUAUAUUUGUUUGACUGGAUUUGGACGAGAAGCUAGAGAAGCCAAAGACAAGCAGAGGAGAAGCUGGCUAGAGAGGAGAAUGAGAAGCACUUCUGGACAAAAGCAGCUCCAACCAAUCUGAGGCAUUCGACACGAGAGCGGACGAGCAAGGUAUUUUGGAUGUUGCUUCUGGCGGAGUUGUCUCAAAUUUCUUGAGCUAGUGCAAAAUAAUUUACCAUUGCCCGAGGUAGAUAGCCCCUCUCUUUAUACCAUGCAGAGGAAAAGAAUCAACAUGAUUUACUCUUAUGGCGUGUAUAAUAAGAAGAUACGGUAGCAGAGAUGUGAGAUAGAAAAUAAUCGAUAAGAUACCUGCUAAACAGAGGUAGCUCCAUGCUGUUUGGACAGUUUCCCUCUGUCAGGAGCCAGAUUGAGCGAAACAUGAGCAAACGAAGGCAUUGAGAAUCCAAGAGCCUGAAGAAGAACGCAACAUUCCAACAAAUAUAUUUUCUGUGAUAACUUCUCGAGGGGUCAAGAUUAUGUAUCAUGAAAAAAACAAAAUAACAAAAGGUAAAAGGUAUUACUUUGUAAAUUAGAGCCUAUUGCAAUGUGUCUGGUAAAUGCUCUUUAGCUCUGUAACAAAACAUGGUAAACACUUACUCCAAGGGUGCCUGACAUUUAAAAGAAAAGCAGCAACCUCAUGGGGCUUCACCCGUGUAAUCUGAUAUUGAUGAAUGGAAAGCAUUUAAGAUCAUUUCGGAUGAGUGGACAACAUUUAAGAUUAUUUCCUCAUGAUGAACUAAUCAAGGCUUUUGAAGAUAGGUGGAAGAACACAGGUAUUAUCCAGGAAUCUGAAACUGUUUUUCACUGAGGUAAAAUUGCAAGCCAUUUUAUUUUCUUGUGUACCUAGGGUGUCCUAUUUGGAUGUCUUUGUCCACAAGAUCAAAGCUAUUGGGAAGAUGAAAAACAUAGUGCCUUCUAUUUUGGAAUGACAAUAAAAAGGUUUCAUUUAUAACUAUCAAUUUUCUGAAGCUGUCUGGCUAUGUGCAGGAAUAAUCCUCAUACUGUGAGAUAUAAUUAAAAAAUAAUUAUCUCAAAUAGAACCUCACCUGGUUGUCGAAUAAGCAGAUACAUGCAUGCUGAACUAAAAUGUAUCAUUGAAUUAACCUGCAGAACCUUCAGAUUUAGAAAAACUAUAAGCAGCACCAUAUAUAUGCGGGUCAUUUGAAAUUAGAAUUAUGAAAAGAGGUUAACAUACAUAGUAAGCAUAUGAUAGCACAUGGUUUUACAUGAUGGAAAAAAUGGAAGCAUUAGUUUUUAGGAGAAAGGAACAGAGGCAUUAGUUUUUAGGAGAAAAGGAACAUGUAAUUCUGUUUUGUGUCUGUUGUAUACCUACAUUGAUUUGCAGGUGCAUGGCUGCUACAUUUUCUAUAGCCUUCUUUUUAUCAAAUUACCUGAUCAUAUCUCAAAUUACAUCGAUCGUAACACCGCAUAAAAUAGGUUCCAAAUCUGUCGAAAAAGUUAGGGGGCAUAUACAACUAUCACGAGCCUUGCCUGUGGCUUUUUAACCUGACAACUAUAAGAGCUCAAUGACAACAUAGACGAUGAAAUUAUAGUAGUGCAGCUUUUUAGUGGGAAGCUAAAUAUUUUUUUAUGGUCUAAACUAAGUAAAUUCAUGCAAUCCUAUAGUAGUGCAGGUUGUUACCUCGUGUAGUCUGUCUAAUCACACCUGUGCUGCUAGCAGUAGGAGGCGCAGGCAGCCGACAUGCUGUGAACCACACUUCGCUGUAACCUUGGCCCUUCAUAGAUAAACCACCAAAUGGAGCUGUUUUUAUUUGUAUCUAUACAAAUUGUCUUGUAACAAUAGUCAACAGGUUAGAAGGCGACAAACUCUUCUGCAAAUCAUGAAUGGAGCAAGGUAUGUAAUUUAUGGAAAGAAAAAAAAUAUGCACGGCAAACAAGGAUACAAACUAAAUCUAUGGAAAAUCAGGUAUCCAUAAAACAAAGAUCAUGAUCUAUAUAGCAGGACGUACAUGCAUUUGUUCCAAAAGUUUUCAUGUAAACUAAAAUCUUAGAUCAAACUACUCUUCAGAAGAACUAUAUAUGACAUACUAAUUAUUUUCCCUAUUUCCUUUCCGUACUGCUGUUACAUGUAUAUUUGAUCUGUAGGCACUGCAAAUUGCCUGCAUAUUGCCUAGGCAAUAGUACGCAUAGCAACAGAACUCAAACAACACUAAUAUUAGUAGACACAAUAGGUUGUAAUUAGACCAAAUCCGAGCAUUAAGGUAGGGUGUGGGUGCUCGGUUUUGCACUUUAGACAGGGAAGAGAAAGGGUUGCCGAACCUGGAGGUGGAAACGCAGAACGGCGCGGCCACGCAGCCGCCGAGGUGCGCCCAUGGAGGGGCCGCCGUGCUUGUGCACGGGCCAAGCGUGGGCUACGUACGACCUAGCGCCGGCGAGGCACCGGACCUCUGGUGUACCCACUGUCGGGUGCUAGGGCAAGCGCCCGUUGCUGGGAUUCAACCACGUGGAGGGGGAGGGAGAGGAAGGAGAAGUGGAGACGGUGGGGAAGGGAAGGACGGGGCGGCGAUGUGGCUCAGGAAGUGGCAGGUAGGGUUUCAGCGACAUGGCUGGGGGUGAUGAACCGAUGCACCGGUGCAAGACCCGGCGAGGGCCGCCAUGGCCCUACGCUUGCGGCGCGAGGAGGGAGGGUGUGGAGGAGGAUGAGGGUGGCCACCACCGCUCCGAGGGCCGGCCACCGCCGAGGUCACCUCGCCCCAUCGUCUCGGUGUUGUGGGAAGAGACGGAGGGAGCGAAGAGGACAGAGGAUGGGGAGAGAAGUUUCCUGAAGUCCUAAAGUAGGAGCAGAAGCCCUUGUAUAUAUUUGGUGGAUCGGAUUCAGAUGAGAAGCUGCAGAAGCUAGCAAAAUAAACAGAGAGCGACGAGGAUCUGCAAGAAGCCGAUUCUGACUGAAGCCGCUUCAGAUGAUCACAGCCACACGAUUCAAGAUCGGACGGCCACGGUAAUUUCGGGUGACGUGGACCCUGCUUCUCCUGGAAGCCGCCGGAUGGUUUAGGGGAGAAUUUCUUGACUAUAAACAACUAAUUAAGUAGGUCUUCUUAGUUGUAAUCGUUGAAACCUUAUUAGAUUGCAAACACCUGCAAAAACCUAAUCCCUCAUUUUAUUCACCAAGAUAAUACAAGAUCAUCCAAAUUGGCCAAACUUAGCGGCCUGAACACUGGUGGAGCCUCAUGGAUGCGAAGCUGGGCUGCUGACCCUUGCUGUCAAGAGAUUUCUGAAGACCAUGUAUGUACUCAGCUUUUUUUUUGCGAACUGUACUCAGCUUAUUUAGUACCAUAAACAUCAGUCUUAAACCAGAGCUCAUCCUUAAUUCAUCUCAUUCCUGCCUUGACCUUCAGCCAUUAUCGAUCUUCAUUAAGGGGACGUUUAGUUCUUCUUUUAUCCUAAAAUUUUUGGGUUUUAGCCCAUCAUUUUGUAUAAUAGAACUAAACAACAUGCAAAAAUUUUGACAAAAAUGUGACUAUUCUUCAUUUUGAAUUUUGGCCUCAAGAGGCCAAAAAAACCCAAAAGAGCCUCAUGAGGCUCUAAUGAAGACAAUAAAUUCUGUAUUUUUUAUGGAACUAAACAUAACCCUGAAAAUUUUAACAUUUUGCAUUUCAUUAUUCCAAAGUAGUUGGUAUUUUAUAUUUUUUGCAUUCUACGAAGAAUUAACACACCCUAAAAAAAUAUAUGGUACCCGUACGUGUCCAAAGCGCAUCACACUUAUGUGUGACUAGAGUAGACCAUUUUUUUGGUGACAUGUGUAAAUAAAUAAAAACCAUUGUAAAGUAAUGCAACUUUUACUUGUGUGGCAUCGAAUCAUCACAAUAUUUUUUGAAACUAAUCAUCACAAUUCGACACAACUUAUCCGCCGGAUAGAGCUUGUAUUAUAUUUGGUAGAUGGACAUUUUUUUUGGUGAGAGAACAUAUAAUUUAUAUAUGUUAGGUUUUUUUUUCCUGUGAGUAUAUAUAGGAUUUGAUUCUCCUAUGAAAAACAAAAUAAAAUUAAUGAAGUUCAGAAUCAAUUAUGGCAUGAACUAGAAUACCUUUUCAUAGUUAGGUCUCCAAGAGAAGCAAGAUCAGCUGUAAACAAUGGCCAAAAAAGAGAAAGGAUGAGACCUGUUACGUGGCAAAGGUCACUUUACAUUCAAUCAAAUAUUCCCCCAGAUCAGAUCAUCUUGUAGAAGAUAAGUAUAUGUAAAAACAUGUUUUUUUAAGAAAAGAAGAUCUUUUGCGUGGAAAAAAUAGCACAAAAUAACAUUAUUUCUAGGAAGGAUGAAAGGUCUGUUACAAGUUGGAGAAUAUUUUCUCGGUACAACAAGAUAUGGAGAGACUUGACUAGAAGUUUCAAAUUAGUGUGACACAACUGUAAAAUGUUAACAAACUGAAACUAUUGUCAAUAUAAAGUAUAAGUUCUUCAUAGUAAGUAGGUUCUACUACACAGAUUAUUUUUACAAUUCCCUUGCAUUUUUUAGGGGUGGUUGAUAUAGUAAACCACCUCGCUAUAUAAUUGUUAUGAUUUACAGUAGCAUAAAAACUGUCCCUAUAUAAACUAUUUCCAUGGUCGAUUAGCUUAAUAAAAUCAAUCUGCUCCUAAAAAUCUACCUAUUUUUAGGGCCAGUUGACAAAAGAAGCCACCUUUAAAAAUAUAGAUUUUUGUGAUUGGAGCGGCGGAGCUUGUUUAUGUCUACUGCCCCUAAAAAUAAAAGUAGGUGUAUUUAUAGGAACAAAAAAAAUCAUAUUUUUUCAAAUGAAGUUAUUAGAUGGAGACAAACAUUAUAUCAAAAUUAUAGUAGAGCUUAAUGAGACCGAAAAACUUUGUACUUGAUGAAUUUUGUAUUUGGGAUCAUUAUAUAGGACGAACUUUACAUUUUAAGUUUUUAGAUUUGAAAUUUAGAAUUUUGAAUUUUUCAAACGACCUCGAGUGCUCGAUGACGAGAUCAGCUGAGACUUUAUUUUUUUUCUCAUUUGAGAUUGACUAGGUGCCAACAUAUUUAAUAUAAAAUCUGUAGAAGUUUAUUCAAAAAAAAAAAUCAUCAUAUACUUGAUCAUAAGUGACACAAGGGUUCCCACACGAGGCAAAAGAUCCUAUAUUAGAAUCCUGGUGGACGUCUUGUGCAAAGUCUACGCGAAGAUUGAGGCUUGUGAUUAUGUGUUAGCCCCUAGGGCAACUGAAAAUAUUUUUGAGAACUUAUUGAUACAUUUGAAUAUAUACUUUUAUAUUUCUAGGGGUGGUUGACUCAACCGUCUCUAAACACCAUUCCGAAAAAUCAAUUUUCAUGGGCCGUUGAUUUAACAAAAACCUCUCAUAAAGAUCAAUUUUGUGGGGCGGUUGUCUGCAAUAUCUCAUUUCUACUAUCAUAUUAGUGGUGUAGAAGAACUUUUGAAAACCACCUCUAAAAAUCGAUUUUGACCGUAUCUAAUUAAAAAUAAUGUAUGAGUAAUGCUGGUGGCAGUGAAAAUGUGAAAUAUGGACACAUAAAGGUGAAAUAUAUAUCUAUGUCAAAUUCUGUUCAAAACAGGAAAUCAAACCAGAACUACUUAACUCUAUUUUUUUUUCUUUUGGGAAAUUGCUGUACAAAACCAAUGCUUUACAUGCAUGCACGCGGCCCAUAUGAGCAUCUUGGCGGAUCUCUUAAGGUUGUCUCAGUCAGCAAUGCAAACACUCUUACGAAGUCUAGCCAUGCAUGAUGCAAUCUGUGUAGUGGCUGCAACAUCAUGUGUUGAAUAGCACCACCAGCAUCAUCAACGACGUGUGUGCUUAUCGACGACUCAUCAUAUAUGACUCAUCGUCCUCGUCCACGAAACAGAUGGAAUAUAAUCUCUGUGUUCAUGUGUACCAGAAUACGUGUGCGCAUCAGAUUCAGGUUCGUCAUCGUACAUGUGUGUGCGUGUGGAUACAUGCAUGCAUGGUUACCACUACAAGUCCUCGCGGCGCCGGAAACGAGAAUCAGGAGACAGUCAAAACUCAUCCCUCGUCUAGUCUUGUGUGAAAUGAAAUAUAUAUACAUAUUCUUCAGAGACAGAUAUGAUCUCGACGGGUAGAAAGAUGCAUGUGUGGAUCAUAUACAUAUACAUAUAUAUAUAUAUACAGGCCGGCUACUGGUCAUGGCUUUCGGUUUAUGCAUGUGUGAAUCGAACAUUCCGCCCUACUACAUGGUACUCGAUCUCUCUGGAACCCGGGCUGGAAUUCCUCGCCAAUUUCAUUGAAGUUCUUGUUCGAAUGUAGUCGCAUUCACAUAAAUCUAUUCGGGUGAAACUUAAAUUAAAUUUUAUCUAAAUUUACCCUAACAUAUAUGAAUUAGUUUCUUAAAAAAAAGCACAUAUAGAUUAAGAUGAAUCCGACAUCGUCCGAACCUCUCUCUUUCUGCCAAGUUGGAGUCGGCUAGCUAGCUAUAGACAUCCAAGGCUUUUUGCCUACUGAAAAAUUUAAAUAAAAGCAGUCUCUGUUUCCAACGUCAAAUUUUUAAUUAAAUUUCUCAAAUGGUUGUACUAGGCUUCUAGAAAAUUUGAAUCUCAUUUUCUAAAAUGUUAAGAUGCAGUGAUUACAAAUCAUACUUGUUACGUGUUCAUUUGGACGGUUGUCCUGAUUAUUGAGCUAGAUAUCUUUGUUUUUUUUUUCACUUGACAGCAUCAAAUUCUACAAAGAGAUUGAGCUAAUAGAAAACAAUGAUAAUAAUUAUGUUUCUAAAACUAGUGACAUCAACAACUAUCUACUCUAGAUCUUCCCUGUACAUACUACUCCCUCCAUACAAAAUUACAAGUCAUUUUAGUUUUUCUAGAUACAUAGAGCAUUGCAAAAGCAUUUAGAAAAAACAAAACAUUUUAGAAUUUGGAAUGAAGGGAGUAAAUUAAUCACAAGGCUUACAACUUAUUAUUCUAUUUCAACAAUCUGUAAAAUUUCAUAGUUUUAAAAUGGCUCUUAAACUGCUAAAUCUAGUCACGUCAGAAAGGAAACGAACCUUGGGCCUCUCCGUGUGUGUGAACUUCUAGCGAGCUGGGGUAACCUCAUUUGUUGUGUGUCUUGCUUGGGCCGUUGUCGAGCUAUGCGAAAGUGGCUUUUUUUCUCAUAACCUUUUUUUAUAACCUGCGAAGGUGGCUUAGAUUCCAUUCGACUCAGUAUAUAUCUUGGUCGCUUGGCAUUCUUGUUACAAGUUUUGAAUUUUGAUACACUGGGUCAAAGGCCGCCACAUCAGCGCCCAAUGGUCAGCUGAGCUGCCAUGCAUGCUGGCGGGCUUGCCGCACCGGCAUGCAUGCAUGGUAGGACAGCGUGUAUCAGCUGCGCAUGGACGCAGCCAAAAAAGUUUUAGUUUAAAAGAUCAUGUUAGAGAUAAAAAUAGUAUUAGAAAAAUUGUCCUUGUAGGAGGCUCCAACGAAGACUAGUGAAGCGUGAGUUUUUUUAUACAUCGGAGAAAAAAAUAUUGCCGAACGGCACUCUCUAACUCUUUCUAUUUCGUAAUUACAUUCUUGAAUUACUUGUUGUGUGAUUCACCUCCCUACUCUAGCUUGCUAUAGGUUUGGAACUUACGUUAAAAAUAGCAACACAUUUAUUAGAAAAACCUAGUGCACAUGUUAGAAGGCAAGAUGUCUAUUUAAUGGGUUGUAAUAAUCUCGGUGGAGAUAAGCAAGAAUAGAAAGAAGGGCCUUCUCUCUUACUCGACCAUGGGCAAGGCCCCUGGGCAGCCCCCUCUCUCGCUCGCAACCUCGAUCAACAUGCAACCGCCAUACCAUCUAGUAUCGGAGAUGCUAGGUUCCACGCGGAUUUGUCCCAACUUCCAUCGCCUACUUCAAGUCGAUGGCACUACUUUUAAUGUUGUCGAUCCUUCAUGUGACGUGGGCAAUGCACCAUCUUCAAGUGCCAGCACCAUGUCAACCCUAUAGCUCGUCAAUCUAUAAUAGUAGCUGUGCUACAGGAAGACAUGGCCCUACGACUCCCAAAAGCAAGAGUGUCUCCUGCGGCGAUUGUCCCAUCGAUCAAGGAUCUGCACGCUGAUAUAAGGAAUACAAUAGCCCAGAUGCAAGCCAUGGUGGAGGAGUUGUUGCAGCUACUAUAGUUCAAGAAGACGAUGAACAUCACGAUGGAGCCAGUGAAGAAGGUGCAUAUCCUCGCCAGGUGUUGGCAACAGUCCUUGCCAGGUGUUGGCGACAGUGCUUUUUAUAUUACAGGCUGCAGCACGCGGACUCCUAGCGUGACGGCGAGCAUGGGCCAUGCGAAAUCUGUGGGUGAUCGAGCCUCGUACCCCUCCGCAGUUUCUCCAAGUUGUGUAUCAUCGCACUGAGGACCUUGAUCUUGUCUGCCGUGUCAAAUAUCUUGGGCGUGUUGUUUCCCAUGUGGGCAGUGGGCAUGUUGUUUCCUCCGUGGGCAGCAAACUCAUAGUCGGCAGCAUUGGCGGUUGCGGAGGUGCACCCCUCCCCGCCAUUCUUCAUCAGAAGCCCUCCUCUCUUCUCUAUGUGGUGUGGACCAACGGCCGUCCAGUGGGGAGAAGGCAUGGUUCACCAGUAGGAGCACACCGAGUAGCACAAUCGCAUGCCGUCACCGGCCACCACAAGGGGACCUUUGUUGGUCGUUGUUGCAACCACUUCUAGGUGGCCAUACACAUGCACCCCCUUUGUCCUGAUGGUGUCCAAGGGAUCAGGCGUGGUUGAUGGUGUCCCCCUCAAUUGAAGAGGCCACAAAAAUAAAGCGUUCAAGUCCAUUUUAGGUUGAAAAUAAUAAAAUGAGCCAAGAUGUAAAAAGCUUGUUUUUAGGUUGUAGCUUAAGUAUAAGUUGCUUGUCAAGGAUGGGUGCAGUGUUAGAGGCGUGUGAUGGCAUAAGUGGGCAAGGAAAGACCUCACGUGGCCUAAAUUUUAGGAGGAGAAAAUCAAGCAUAUGGUGGAGAGCUCUAGAGGACUGGGUAAAGGGGAUGUGAGGUGGAGGACUUAGCAAAGGGGAUGACCAUGCAUGCACAAGAGACUGCACAAGAUGUCUAUUUAAUUGGAAGAUAAGCAAAAAUUAGAAGAAAGAGCCUUCUCUCUUGCUCAACCGUGGGCAAGGCUCCCCGGCCGUCUCCCUCUCUUUCUCUCUCUCAACCUGCAGCCACCAUAACAGCACUUAUUGAUAGAAUUUAUGUAGUUUUUUAUAAGUGGUUUUUAGCGUUAGUUUUUAAGUGGCCUAAUUCUCUCCUCUUAGGCCUCACAGUCCCUUCUCUCUCUAUAUAAACUCUCGAGAAUUGUAAGUAUAUAUACCACCGGCAUCUUCCUUCACAGGUUAUUACUGAACUAAAUAUGUCGCGUUCCCUUAACUUUAGCAGAAGUAAAUUGUCUAUUAUCACUGCUCUAGAAAAUACUGGACUUGUAUUGCUCUAUUAGAAAAAAAAAACGCUGCAAAAAGGAGCUCGUUUUUCAGAGCAAGGUACUUUUAUAUUCCAUUGCCACAUGAUCCUUAUUACCAGCUAGGGCCUUGUUUACUUCCAAAA
rnacentral:lncRNA from 1 species